rnacentral:lncRNA from 1 species
GGUGGUGGUGGGGGUGGGGGGUUCUCCCGAAGUAGUAUGAACCCUGACCUUGUUUUUCUUGAAUAUCAAGUGUACUUCUGUAUUUCUCAUCUUGGCGUCAGCCGUCAGUUAUUCCAUUUUGAGAAAGACACAAAACAAUGAAUCCUCACAUAGAUCAAUAGAACCUACACAAAUCAAACUUUUUAAUGAAAUUCAUUAUCGUCAUUAAUUACCUGCUGUAGAGUUUGUAUUUGAGUUGUGCACAAAAGGAGAAGAUCAAGUCCACAAGAGAUUCUCGGGUGAGUCAGAGGAUCCAAAGAUCGAGAAAGAAACAAACUUAAAAGCCUAAGCAUGUUUCAAUAUAAGUAAAGCACGUUACACCCAUCUUAGCCCGAAGUAGAAAUGUGUCGUUUUCUCGUAUGCGAGUGUUGAUCAAAACUAGGCUUGCAAUUUUGGCCCGAUUUUGGCUUUUAGUUUAUUCGAUUAUGGAUUCUAAAAUGAUCAGCAAUAUUAUAAAAUUAAUUCAUUUAUUGAUUUGGUUUACUACGACAGUCAGUUUGUGACGUAAGAAAAAAAAGACAAUCAGUCAGUUUGUUUAAUUUAAAAUAAACCAAUUUUAAAAUAUUUCGAACUGAUUUUUUUUUUUACUUUAAAAUACAUAUAUUAACCAAUGAGUUAAAUCUAGAUAAACAAAAGAACUAAGAGCAUGAUUGGUUUUCCCGCUACCAUCCGCAAACGCAGCUUUUGCGAUUGGUAGCGGUUGACAGCGUUUCGAAACAAUCAUACAAACCGCUACAAAUCGCUUCAAACCGCUCCGAACCUCUUAAAAUCAAAAGUUGGUUCCAGCUAGCGUUUGCGGUUGCGGGCGGUUGCGGGAGAAUAAUUUUUUUUUCUUUUUUUUUCAAAAACCAUAUAAAUAUAAAAAUAAAAAUAAAAAUAAAAUUUUUAAAAUGGAAUUAUAAAAAUACUAAAAUAUAUCUAUUAUAUUUUAAUUAAUAUUAUAAAUUUUUAAAAUAAAAAUAUUUUCUAUAAUUUAAAAAAUUUAAAACUAUAACUUUGAAAAUAUAAUUUACAUAUUUAUUAUAAUAUUAUGAUUUUUGAUAUUUUUAUAAUUAUAUAAAAUGUAAAUAUUGUUAAUUUAUUAUUUAACCACUGCUGUAUUUGGUAGUUAACCAGUCAUAAGUAUCCCGCAAACGCACCAAUUUCUAACCGCAGAACCAAUCGUACAAAUCUCUUAAAACCGCUAGAAACCGCAACCACCCGCAUCCGCAAACGCCCGCAGCCGCAACCGCAACAGCUGCGUUUAAACCAGUCAGACCCUAAGUCUGAGAAUUUUACCAAAACCACAACUCUAAAAUUUAAAGAAAACACACAAAAAUUGGUAAAAGACACUCCUCUGAAAGCAAAAAAAAAAUACCAAGCCAACCUAAAACUUAAUUAAAACAAAAGAUACAAUCAAAUGUAACCAAGUAAGAAAGAGAUGCACAAUAUCCACAUAAGUAUAGAACGAGCAGUAUUCGCGGCAGUGCAAAGCUCAAGAGAAGCUUCUUGGCGGACUAACACUCGAACCGGAGAUGCCCUAGGAACCACGAGCAAAACACAAGAGACCUAUAAACCAACAAUAAACCAUAACCGAGAAUCAACCAUUUAACCACCUAAUCUUCAACUUAAAAGGUAUAAAAUAUGAACUAUGCAUCCCGAAAUAAGCCCAGCCUUCCAAGAAUAGUCUAAGAAAGACCAAAGAUGAGAACUAUUUAUUUAACUACUCUAGGGACGGUAGAAUAGGCAACACAAAGAUUAACCAAACUAAAAAGAAGCUAAUCGACGAAAACCAAACCCAAACAAGCAACUAAACCGAAGCUAUCCCAGACCAGCAAAAACAAAUCAAACCCAAGAACAACACCUGAACAAAGAAACUAACCAACCCACAAACACAAAAUUAAACCGAAGAAAAUUCAUAUACUUGCAUGCAAUUAAAGGUGAAGAACUAAGAGAGAACCGCGUUGAGCAAGAGGAACCAAAGAGAUAUAUAUUGCUAACAACCAUCCAUCAGAAACUUUCGGCUCAGAUCUUAGUAGAAUCCUAGCAACAGCGGAAUGCAAACAACACCACGACAACAUUAAAAGCACUACCACCUUUAAAAGCUCUCCCUCUUGAGAAGCCAUGGACCUCUAUAAGUUCAGAGAGAUUCAUAAGAUAAUCGGUAAAAAUCCGGAGAAAUUCGAACAAGAAAAAUGACAAAGAAAGGAAAAAAGCACUAUGGAAGUACAAUGGCUUAGUGAUCAAGAUUUAAAAAGGCUUAGACACUAGGUUUGGGAUUCGAUUGCCAGAAGAUGUAAUUUUUUUGCAGAUUUUAGAAUGCAAGGCUUAUCGGAAGUUGAAUAUCGUAGAUACAUAAACGUUCACCGAUCUAUGUGUUACAGAGAGAACUACAUUGUAGAAUCAUUGUAUGUGAAUGUGUUCAUCAUAUUGUUUUUUGUUGUAGGUACUUUAAUCAUCAAUAAAUAGAUAUAUACAUUAUAUAAUGAUGUAGUUGAUUUCACUAGUGUUAAAGAAGAAAACAAAGCAUAAAAGGCAAAACAGAAAAUAGUACAAGGGUGGCAAGACUAGUGAACCACCAACCACACAAAGCAAAAAAUGACAACCGAAGUAUAUAAGAUGGAUUUUUUUGAGUCAUUUAGAUAAAUAUACAUGAAACAUCUCACAGUUGCAAAAACGUGUAAUACUUUACAUAAUUAGUCGAUAUAUAUAUGCAGCUGGGACAAAUAACGCAUAAGCCCUUCAUUAUCAGUUUUUUUUUACGUAUACCCUAUUUCUAACAGAAAUAAUAAAAGCUAGAUAGGGUCAAAAUUGGAAUAAAUGAAAGUGAGCAGUGUAUAAAUAGUGGCCAGCGUUAGAAAACUAGUUAUGUCUACAUCCAUGUAUAUUCAAUGCAAUUGCUCUUUUUUUUGGUGUAAUAGAUUGUAUCAUGAGCGAUUUGCAACAAAAUUACACAAUAAGUAAUAAAUUUGCAAGGAUGGAGUAAAAGCACAAAAAAACAUGGUUGUCAGUAGCUUUUGUCGGGAGUAUUUUACCAUUUGCCCCUUUCAUCAAACACACUUACUCAUAUAUAUGUAAUAUGCAAGUUAGCUGGAUAUAAUUUCACAUAUAUGGAUCAAUUUAAAAUUAGCUGGAUAUAUAGUUAAUAUGUAAGUUAGCUGGAUAUAAUCUCACUUAUAUGGAUCAUUUUUAAAUUAGCAUUGUUAUAUUCUGAUUUAGCUAUAUAUUUUUCAUGUUAACUGGUAUUUAAUUUAUAUUUACCGGUUAUUAUAUCAAUUGGUGGUGGUUAUUUUUUAUCAAUUCGGAUAAAUAAAAAAUUAACUCUCUAAUAAAUCACAAAACAUAUGAUUAGAUAUAGAUGUCCAGCUAAACAUAGAAUUAAAUCUUUAACAAAUCGCAAUACAUAUGAUUAAAAUGGUUGUUUAGCCAGAUAUACAUACAAAAUUCCCCUGAGAAAUAAAACAAAAAAAUGGUGUGCAAGUGAUCAGCGGAGGAGGAGUCAGUUGGGGAGAUGAUCCUUUCUUCCUGGCUUUGUUAUUCAACCUGCAAAAAUCAUGACCAUGAAAGAAAACAAAAUUAAAACACAAAAUGAUACAAAGAUUAUAUAAACUGCACAUACACAGACAUAGACCUAUACAUACAUAGAUACAUAUAUGUAUAGUUAUUUAGACAAGAACCCAUGAAACUAGAGGAAGAGACAAAGAAAGAGAAGAAACAAAAACACAGAAGAUUUUAUUCGUGUGCUAUUCCAUUAAUACAAAAGAUUGAAGCUUUAAAGAUGGAAAUUGAGAGUACCCAGAAGACAAUACGGAAAGAAGCUUUAAGCUUUUGUCUUUGUCUGAAACCGGAAAAUGAGAUCCUCGAGGAAAAAAAACGGAUGAGCUCAAACAGAUAACUACGAAGCUUUUUUUUUUUUUCAAAAAUGGAUACAAAAUCGAAGCUUUCAUUUUUGCUGUGAAUUUGUAGAGACUAGAGAGAGAGAGGCGAAGUGAACAAAAAGAAAGAAUAAACAUCGAAAAGAGCUUUGCAAAGUUGACGAGGCUAUAGGUAAAAGUUUUAUUAUAGAUAAGAGUUUUAUACAAGAGUAGCAGUGUAAUUAAAAAAAUACACAUCAGCGAAAAAAUGUGCUUUCCUUCCUGUGCAAAUAUGCACUUAGUUUGUUUUGUACAGGGAGUGAGUGCAAUUACUCUUGUAUCAUUCUCAAUUAAUUAAACUAACUAAAAAUAAAUGAAAUUAAUUGAAAUUAGCUAAAACUAUUGGUAUUUUAUCAAAAUGACUCAGAGCUCGACCAAAACUUAACAAAAAUUGAAUGUCUUUAGUUAAACUCAAUAAAAAGAAUUAGAAAAAGAAUAAAUUAAUCCAAAUCAAACCAAACUAGUAUAUUUUUGUGUUUAAUUUUUCAGUUUUCGAAUUGACCAAAAGUAAUGAACGAAACCGCAUAAAUUUCUGAGAACAUUAAAAGAUAAAUGGGAGACAAAGAGCUUGAUAUGUCUAUAAUGUUUUUCCCAAAAGAAAACACUUAAAACCUCGUGUUCAGCCAGCAGUUCCGACGAUUGGUCCCAACUCGAGCUUCUGCUGAGAGAGACAAAAACUCAAAAAAGUUAAAAGACUUAAAAAAUGAACCAGACGCGACGAAAGAGACGACCCGAUCCAUCUCCGCCGCCGCUGAUCUCUCCCCGCGUGAGAAACAUCUUCCUCCUCCUCACUUUCCUUUUCGUCAUCUACAUCCUCUUCUCCUACGGCACUUUCCGCCGCGACCGAUUCUCAUCCCUCGCCCGCUCCCUAUCCGUCUUCCCCACCCAACGCCGCCACUUGCUCUUCUCCAUCGCCGCCUCCCACGGCUCCUGGCUCUCCCGCAGCUCCUACGUCCGCCUCUGGUACUCCCCCGAGUCCACGCGCGCCGUCGUCUUCCUCGAUCGCGGCGGAUUCGACCCCGAUCCAGCUCUCCCCCCUGUAACCGUCUCCGAAGACGUCUCCAGGUUCCCUUACAACUUCCCCGGCGGUCUCCGAUCCGCGAUCCGCGUGGCUCGCGUCGUCAAGGAGGCGGUUGAUCGGGGGGAGGAUAACAAAGACGUGCGGUGGUUCGUUUUCGGGGAUGAUGACACUGUCUUCUUUGUGGAUAAUCUGGUGACGGUUUUGUCCAAGUAUGAUCAUAGGAAGUGGUGGUACGUUGGGAGUAACUCGGAGUUUUAUGAUCAGAACGUGAGGUACUCCUUUGAUAUGGCAUUUGGUGGCGGUGGAUUCGCUAUCAGUGCUUCGCUUGGGAAGGUUCUUGCUAAGGUUUUGGAUUCUUGUUUGAUGAGGUACUCUCACAUGUAUGGUAGUGACUCCAGGAUCUUCUCUUGUGUGGCUGAGCUUGGUGUUGCAUUGACUCACGAGCCUGGGUUUCAUCAGGUAAAACGAGAGUUCUCCUUAAAGUUCCAACUUUAAUGCUGAUUGCUGAACAAGAGAGGUUUCUAAAUUUGGCAACUUUAGCUCAAUUAACAAUGCAUUAGUUUACUUUCUUUAUUUGGUUGAUUUUGGGUAAAUGUAGUUGGUAUGUUUAUUCUUUAAUCUGGACGUUACUAUAGAUUUUGUUGUAACAAUGAUUGAGAUUGUCGAAAAGCUUUGAAUUUGAUUUAUUGGAAUUGACAAGAUGAUAGUUUAUACAGUAACAUCGAUGCGCUGAUUGCUUAACCGGGAGAGGUUUCUAAAUUUGGAAACCUCAGUGAACAAUGCAUUAGCUUACUUUCCUUAUUUGGUUGAUUUUGGAUAAGUGUAGUUAUGUCUGUUUCUUUUUUUUAGUAGCCUGCUACUAAGAGUUAAUCUGAAUCUUACUAUAAAUGUGCUCUUUUUCAUAGAUUGAUGUAAGAGGGAACCUAUUUGGACUGUUAUGUGCACACCCUUUAUCUCCACUGGUAUCACUUCAUCACUUGGACGCAGUUGACCCGUUCUUUCCGAAAACAAACCGGACAGAAUCGGUGGCUCGUCUCAUCAGGGCUGCGAGUUUUGAUUCAGCAAGGAUUUUGCAGCAGAGUGUGUGCUAUGAUUCUUCUAACACAGUGACUGUUUCAGUUGUGUGGGGUUACGCGGUUCAAGUUUACGAAGGCAAUAAACUCCUCCCGGAUCUCCUCACCGUGCAAAAGACCUUUUCUACAUGGAGGAGAGGGUCAGGGGUCCGAAGCAAUUAUAUGUUCAGCACAAGGGAUUAUCCCAGGGACCCAUGUGCGAGACCGCUUGUCUUUUUCUUGGAUGGUUUAGGAUCGGAUGGAACUGGAGGGACAUGGAGUAGCUAUGGCCUCCAUAGUGUCGGAAACUGCCGUAGAGCAGAAGCUGUUGAGGGACUACGGAACAUCCGAGUUCUGUCUCGUAAGCUGGAACUUAAUGGUGAACAGGUAUAGUUUGUAAAUACUCCUAAGCUUCUCAGUAGAGGAUCUUUGAUUUGGCCUGGAUUCACAUUUUUUUAAUUUUCUUUGAAAUAUAAAUGGCAGAUGAAUCCGCCUCGCCGCCAGUGUUGUGACAUCUCAUCGCCUUAUAACAAAUCAAUGGUCAUUAAUAUAAGACAAUGCAUGCCUGAUGAGCUAAUUGCCAUGAACACUUAGUGUUUUUUCUUGGCCAUUAGCUUUCAAGAAUCAGCUAACCAAAGCCUGAGCCUAUGAUUCGUCUGCUAUAAGACCAAUGGCAUAAUUGUAGGUAAGUUUCUUGUUGCUUCAUAGUUUUUGUGUACAACCAUAAUGCUCAAUAGAACUUAAUACCUUUUGUCUCGUAGCCUGUAGGUGGGUCACUUUUAUCUUCCUGUUCAAAUCUGGUCCAUACAUAAACUCCUACAGUUUCCCGACCAAGUUUGUUUCUUUGUAUCUCCCUUUGCAAAACUCCGAAGGAGAAGAAUAAGUCUUAGAUCCUUCCUCUGUAAAUAUGGUUGUGCAGGCGUUGAUGUCACUCGUACUUAGAUUCAAAGUUUUGAGUUUUUUUCUUUUUAAUAUUAUACCGGAGUUACUUUGCUCUUUGAAUGUUAAGCGCUUGUUUGCUCAUCAAUUUUGGAAGGUCUCAUUUUUUCAUACUAAACCUGUGAAUUGAGUUUGCCACUAAGAGAUUUCAAGAGAUCAUUUACUUUGGAAAUUGAGUUUACCAGUGAAGAAUGCGAAAAGUGAUGCCAGGGGAAUGAAGAAGGCUCUGAGAACAACAGCUACAAGAUCCAAAGAGCUUGUCUUUUAGCAUGUGUACAUGAAGCAAAAUCGAACAUAAUCCUCCACUCAAUUUUGUCUUUUAGCAUGUGUAUUACUGCAAUCCUCACAACAGCACCAAAGCAAAAACAAUUACUAAUGGGAUAAACUUAAUCAUAAACACAAUUGAUCAUCACAAAUGCAACUAGCUGAUCAUGACUUUUGAGGAAGACUUAAAGAAACUAUUUGGUCCAUAGCUCUUGAUUGGUGUUUUGUGUUGGUUUAAGUCUUUGAACCAUGUGCACAAGAAAAAAUUUGCACUCCCUCAAAGCCCAAAGCCGGCACUGAUAGGAAGCACAACAGAGAACCGAACUUAUUAAGACUAUUAUCUACGUUUGGGGUUUUGUUGCCUUGGAAGCUCGGUUACGGUCAAAGGAGGUAUUAGAGCGGGAAAAAAAAGAAGAGAAAUAUCGCCUUUCAUCCCCCCAGCCGACUCAGAGAAAGCUUUAGUUUUCGCGGUCAACCCACUAACCCGUGACGGGUCCGUCAACUGCGACAGCCUUAGUUGGGCUCAAACGCGGGCCAAGGCCCGUAAUGCAUCUCUACACGAAACUUCCUGUUUUUGUUGGUGAUGAAGUCAACGGUGGUGGUUAUACAAAAACCUCUUUAGUUCAUGAUCUAACACCAACAUCGAUGUGAUCUUCAUCUUGUCUCUACCAUCUCUAAUGGAUUCUGCUGCGUCUCCUUCAUCCCUUCCAUCCUCUGUGUCUCACAACUGGGAAUAUCGUGUCUUCCCGAGCUUCUGCGAGGAAGAAAUUAGCAGAGGCUUUUUCGGUUACUUCAAGAAAGAGUUUGAAAGAAAGGGAAUCAAACUAUUCAUUGACAGGAGGGAGUCUUUUGGUCCUGGGCUCAUAGAAGCUAUAAGAAGAUCGAGGAUAGCAAUUGUUAUUUUAUCGAAGCACUACGCUUCAUCAACUUUGCGUCUGGACGAGUUAGUGGAGAUCAUGAAAUGCAGGGAAGAGUGUUGGAUCAAUAAAAGGCAUUGGCCUUUAUUAUAUAAUGUGAAUACAAUGACAUUGGGCUUCUGAUGAUUUAAGCCCAAAAAUAUGUCAAGUAAAUGAAUGAUGGCUAUGGGAUUUGUCCCACAUCGGCCAGGAGAAGAGUAAUAGAGAUGUUUAUAUAUUGCCAAGCACUUGGUGUUGGUUAAACAGCUCAGAGGAAGAGAGAGCUCCCCACGCGCGCACCGCCGUUCGGCCGGCUCGGCUCGGCUCGGGCUCGGGUGGAGGGUCUCUGGCCUGAUAAGAACUAUUUUUUUUGGACCAAGUUAAGCUCAAAAAACAGCAUACAAUUUUAUUUAAAACGACAAGUAGUUUGUCUAGAAAAUAAAAACGUCAUGCAUGUUAUCUUCUCGAAAGUUUUAAACGAGAUAAGAGAGAGUCUUGAGGAAGAAGUUUCGGAACUCAACUUCCCUCGAUCUCCGCGAGAUUCUCGCCCACGUGCAGCAGCUGUUGCGGGAAGUGGGUUGUCUCCGUCUCUUUAAAUAUCGCCUCUCAUCUUCAUUCAUUUCUUAACUUUUUUCACAGCAAAAUACCAUCAAAAACUCCUACGCGUAAGUCUAGAGAGUGUUUCGUAGAUUAUUAGUUCGUAGAGGUUCUUCACGAGUACUGCGUGAUAACCUUACAUGGUUUUAUCCUGGGACUCAUAUUCGUACAGAUCCGUCGCACUAACGGAGCGAAUAUUAAGAGUUAAGGAAAGAGAUUCGUCUCGACUCCAUGCCUUCGUUUCCAUUUCGGUUUUGAAUCGUCUAUUUUUUCCUUAACAUCGUAUUUAUAUUAUCGUUUAACUCGAACCGGUUUUACGGCUUCUACAAAGAGUUGGGUCAAAUAGUGGUUCCUUUUUUUUAUGAAGUGGGAGCUGCAGAUGUGAAGAAGCAGAGUGGAUAUUUUGGAUCUGUCUUUGAGAAAGCUUGUGUGGGGAGAUCAGUGGAGGACGUUGAGAAAUGGAAACGAGCUCUGAACGAACUGUCCUUUAUCUUUGGUUAUCUUUCAGGGAACUGGUUAGUCAUUUUGAUUCCUCCUAAAUUUUGUUCACAUGCCAAAGUAUAUGUGCAGAUUAAAAUCUAUCAACACUGCUCUAAUGAUGCGAUCUAGAAGAAUAAUCUAAUCUAUUAAUUUAGGAUCAUAUUUUUAUCUACUUACAAAAUUAGUUAAUAAUAAAUCAACUAUAAAUUUUAUUUUUUUGAUUAUAACAAAAACGGUUGAAAAAAAAUCUAACAAGAUCUUACCAAAAAAUUUAAAUAUUUUUAUAAAAUAACACAUUAGUUAAUUUUGUUAUUUGUAAUAUAAUAUUAUCAUAAAUCAGUGGUAACUAAAAUUUUAUUAUAAAAAAAAAGAAAAUAAAAAUUCUAUACUAUUUUUAUAAUUCUAUAAUUAUAUUUUGUAUUAUAUAAAAAUAGUGUCAUAUGAAUUAAAUAUGAUAAAUUAUAUUAAAUAGGUAAAUUAACAAUUUUUCUAUUUUUAAAUUGUUUCAUUUAAAUAAAUCAUGACUCAUCAUUAAAAUGGGAGAAAAUUCGUAAAAUAUAUAAUAUUUUUAUACAAAAAUAGAUUUAUUAACAUAUGUUAAACUUUUAUGUAUACAACUAUAUAUUAUCUUUUUAUUUAUUUUUAAACUCUCAACAAUAUAUUGUUUAAAAAUGUAUAUACAAAAAUAUAAUAGUGUAUGAUAACCUUUAGUUCAUAUACUAUUUAAAAAAUAGGUUAUUAGAAAACUAUAAAAUUUUAGUAAUUCAUUUAAAAUAUUAAUGAAAAGUCAAAUUUUGACUAUAAAUUUAUGUUUUAUUAUAAUUAUAACAAAAUCUGUUGAGAAAAAUUUAGAAAAUAUUACCAAUUCAAAUAUUUUCUAUAAAAUAAUAUGUUAUUGUAGUAACAAAAAAAUAAAAAUUCAUAUAAUCUUCCAAACUCAAAAAUAGUUGUUUAAUUUUCCAAAGUUUAAUGACAAAAUAUAAAAUUUUAAAAAUAAAUAUUUUAACUCAAAAUGAUAAUUUUUCAAAUUUUAUGAAAGAUAAAAUCAUAGAUGAUAAAGAAUAUUUUUUUAAAUGCACCACGAAAAACCAAACUAUAUAUGUUGUAAAAAUUGAAAGCAAAUAAUUUUAAUUCUUAAUGAAAAAAACAUAAUAUCAUAACAUCCAAAAAAUAUCAUAUAUCAAUAAAAUUUACUAAAAUAAUAGGAUUGCAAUAUUUAAACAAAACAGUGUUUUUAUUUAUAAAUCCCGUAAAAUGCUAAAAAGAUAUAUGUUAAAGUAUAUAUUUUAAACAUAACAUGUAAAUAUAAGUUAUCUUAUACAUAUUUAUUUUCUAAAAUAUAAAUAAUUAAAUUUAAAAAAUUUAUUAUAUGCAAAAUGUAUAAAUUAAAGAAAAAACAUAUUUUAAAGGAGUUUCUCUAUUUGGUUAUUUUAGAUUGUUAUUUUAUGGAGGAAUUACAUGCUUACCACUUUCAUGGUAUUAUUAUUCAUCUUUACCACCACUAAAAGGAUAUUUUCAAAAUACAUUGUUCAUUGAGUGGCAAAAGACUCUUAUAUUCAUGUUCUCUAUAUAUGUAACAAAUAUUUAUUUAAAUAAAUAAAUAAUAUAAAAAUAUUUUUUUAUGUUUCCGAAUUAUAAUUUCUCAAAUUCAAACUUUUGUGUAAUUAAUUUUUUGGAAUUUUUUAAUUUUUUCAGAAUUCUUUUUUGAAAAUUGAAAAUUUAGUUUUAAACUAACUUUUUAAAAAAGAAUUUAUUUUUUAAGUAUUUAUUUAUAUAUUUAUUGGAAUCUUAAAUUUUAUAUUCCAAAAACCCUACCGCACCAUUCAACUUUAAACCUUAAGUCUAGAUUAGUUAAACCUUAGGAGUAUAAAUUUUUUUUACCCUUCAUUAAAAACGAGGGUAAAAGUGGUUAGCGUAAACAUGAAAAGUAGUAAUAUGAAUGUGAUAUUUGUGGUAAUUUCCAUUAUUUUAUUGUACCUAACUAGAAAAUAUAUUAGUAAGUAAUAAAAAUUAAUAACAAAGUAAAAUUUAUUAAACAAAUUAUUAUAUAUUAAUAAUGCCGAAUAAAAAUAUAAAAAAUAAUAUGAAAGAGUUACACAAUAUAUAACACUAAAAUAGAAAUUAUAUAUUUAAAAUAUUUGUAAUAAUAUCAAAUACAUUUAUAAAAUGAAAAAAAAAUCUGCAUGGACAUUCUCAUUAAGAGCACUAGUGUAGUAUAUUAUUUUAUGGAAUGUCUAAAGUAUUUGUUAGUCAAAUAUAUAUUAACAAGUUCUGAUCUCUCCCUUGUUAGGAAAAGUGAGGAUGAUAUGAUGGAAGAAGUUGCAAAUAAUCUUUCAAACAUGUUAAAUAAGGCUGCCCCAUCAACGGAUUUCGAUGGAUUUGUUGGAACGGAGAAUCAUAUCACACAGAUAAGUUCACUGUUGUCAUUAGAUUUCGUUGAUGACGUGAGGAUGGUUGGAAUCUGGGGUCCUGCAGGAAUUGGGAAAACAACCGUAGCCCGAGCCUUAUAUUGGAAACUCUCUAAUAAUUUUGAAGUCACUGAUUUUAUGGAGAGUAUAAGGGGAAGUCCUGAGAACCAUCAUCCGUUCGUUUUGAAUUUACAAGAACAAUAUAGGAAAGUGCUUUUAGUUCUCGAUGAUGUACAUGAUUCAAAGCAGCUAAAAGCCAUGGCUGGCAAUCCUCAGUGGUUUGGCCGCGGAAGCAGGAUUAUCAUCACAACGAAUGAUAAGAAACUUUUGAAGGCACAUGGGAUCGACCAAAUAUACCAUGUGGAAUUUCCAUCAACAUUGGAAGCUCUUGAAAUCUUCUGUCUAUAUGCUUUUGAUCAAAAGUCUCCCUAUGAUGGUUUUGAGGAGCUCUCCAUGGAAAUUACAGGACUUGCCGGCAAUCUUCCUUUGGGUCUAAGUGUUUUUGGUUCAUAUCUACGAGGCAUGUCAAAAGGAGAGUGGAUGCAUGCACUUCCUAGACUUAGGACAAGUCUCGAUGCAAACACUGAGAAAGCAUUAAGGUGCGACUAUGAGACAUUGUGUGAUAAAGAAAAAGCUUUAUUUCUCCAUAUGGCAUGUUUUUUCAAAGGUGAGAGAACAAGCAAUCUGGGAGAGUAUUUUAGCAACUUGGACAUCAGGCGUGGGCUUCAAGUCUUAGCUGAAAAAUCUCUCAUAUCUAUAGACAAUGGGGCACGAUUAGUGAUGCACAAUUUACUAGAACUACUGGGUUUAGAAAUAUCCCGUAAAGAAUACAUAGAUGAGAAUAGGAGACGUGCUCGGGAGAUUGGUGAUGUCCUCGCCGAUGAUACAGUAAGUUUUUACAAUCUCCUCGCCUUGCUCAUUUGAUAAUUCUCUCACAAGUUUCUGUGUAUUGAGAACUUAGAUGUAUUAGAUAUGGAAAGGGUUGUUAUGCCAAUGUCAUUAACCUACUUCUAGCUGAUACACUAGCUAUAUAUUGUAAUAUGUUCGCCUCUAAUAAGACUUACAUUCCACAAUCUAUAUAUUUUGGAUCUUUUUCAGGGAUAUGUAUCUGCUCGAGGCACAGAUCACGUCUUAACUGCAAUCAAGGACGAAAUAAGCAUUGACGAGAGAGCCAAUGAAAGGACACUUGACUCUUUACCGGCUCUUUCUCCUUUGCCUUCCAAUUGUACACACCAUGUCUUUGCUAGUUUUCGCGGGGUAGAUGUUCGUAAAAGUUUCCUCCGUCACAUGCUAAUGGUGCUCAGAAACAAAGGAAUCACCCUAUUCACUGAUAUUGAAAUCGAGACGGGCACAUCGAUUGCUCAUGAACUCAAAGAAGCUAUACACCGAUCGAGGAUCUCAAUUAUCCUAAUAUCAAAUAAGUAUGCUUCUUCAACGUGGUGUCUGGACGAGUAGGUGGAGAUCAUGAAGUGUAGGAAAAAGUUGAGUCAAACAGUGAUUCCCAUUUUUUAUGAAGUGGAACCAUCCGAUGUGAAGUGUCAGAGGGGAUACUUUGGAUCUCUCUUUGAUAAAACUUGUGUGGGGAGAUCAGUGGAAGACGUUGAGAAAUGGAAACGAGCUCUGGACGAAGUGUCCAAUAUCUUUCGUUAUGUUUCAAGGAGCUGGUUAGUCAUUUUUAUGUCUUAAUCAUUUUGGCACGUCAUUGUAUAUUUGUAGUGGCUUUUUUCAUGACUUUCUUUUUGGUUUGAUAUUAUUUUUUUCUAGGGAAAUGGAAGAAAUUAUCGAAAAAGUUGCUAACAAUCUUUCAGACUUGUUAUAUGAGGAUGUACCAUCAGGGGAUUUUGACGGAUUAGUUGGGAUGGAGAAUCAUAUCAUGCAGAUAAGUUCAUUGUUGUCACUAGAUUCCGAUGACGUGAGGAUGGUUGGAAUCUGGGGUCCUUCAGGAAUUGGAAAAACGACCACCGCCCGAGCUUUAUAUAGGAAGCUCUCUAGUAAUUUCACACACACUGCUUUCAUGGAGAGCAUAAAAGCAAUUCGUGAAGAAAUACACACUGACGACCAUGCCUACAUGUUGUAUUUACAAGAAAAACUUUUGUGUCAAACCUUCAACCAUAUGGGUUUGGAGAUACAUCACUUGGGAGUGGCGGAAAAAAGGCUGAAGGAUAAGAAAGUGCUUGUCGUUCUCGAUGAUGUAGAUGAUUUAAAGCAGCUAAAAGCCAUGGCUAAAAAGACUCAGUGGUUUGGCAAUGGAAGCAGGAUUAUCAUCACAACAACUGAUAAGAAACUUUUGAAGGCACAUGGGAUCAAUGAUAUUUACCACGUGGAGUUUCCAUGUGCAUCUGAUGCUCUUGAAAUCCUAUGUCUACAUGCUUUUGGUCAAAAGUCCCCAUAUCUUGGUUUUGAGGAGCUCGCCAUGGAUGUUACACAACUUGCCGGUGAUCUUCCGUUCAGUCCGGUCAUCAAAACUACAACCAUACGACUUGUCCUUGACAUUGCGGUCCAUGGGAACUGGACCAUCAAACAAUUAGAUGUUAACAAUGCGUUUUUGCAGGGUGAGCUUCAAGAAGAAGUCUACAUGAUCCAGCCCCCUGGUUUCAUUGAUCGAGACAGACCAUCACAUGUGUGUAAGCUAAGAAAAGCAAUCUAUGGACUCAAGCAAGCUCCGCGUGCUUGGUACUUGGCAUUGAAACAACAUCUCACUUCCACUGGCUUCACCAACUCUCUCGCGGAUGCGUCUCUGUUCACAAGGAUUGUAAAUGGCAGCUACACUUACAUAUUGAUCUAUGUCGAUGACAUUAUUGUAACUGGAAACGACAAGCAGGUCAUCGAUCAAGUCCUUCAUACGUUUGCGGAUCGCUUCUCCAUCAAGGAUCCGGUUGAUCUUCACUACUUUCUUGGCGUCGAAGCAACAAGAACAACAGAGGGUCUCCACUUAUGUCAGCGUAAAUACAUCAUUGAUCUGCUCAUCAAAACGAAGAUGCACGAUGCUAAACCCGUGACUACCCCAUUACCUACUUCACCGAAACUCACUCUUCAUGGUGGCACUCUUCUCAAAGACUUGACAGAAUACCGGUCAGUUGUCGGGAGUCUUCAGUACCUAGCGUUCACACGCCCAGACAUCUCUUAUGCUGUCAGUAGACUCUCUCAGUUCAUGCACCGCCCCACGACAGAACAUUGGCAAGCAGCGAAGCGCGUCUUACGAUAUCUAGCAGGCACAACAACUCAUGGCAUCCUUCUCUCUCGACGGUCACCUCUCACACUUCAUGGGUUCUCCGACGCAGAUUGGGCUGGUGACACUGAUGACUACAUCUCCACAAAUGCAUACAUCAUCUACCUUGGAUCAAAUCCGGUUUCUUGGUCUUCGAAGAAGCAAAAUGGUGUUGCGAGAUCCUCAACAGAAGCAGAAUACAGGGCUGUUGCGAACACAGCUUCAGAAAUAUGGUGGCUCUGCUCUCUUCUCCAUGAACUUGGCAUCCGCAUUCCGAUAGUCCCUGUGAUCUAUUGUGAUAACAUAGGAGCAACCUAUCUUUGUACUAACCCUGUUUUCCAAUCCAGGAUGAAGCACAUUGCACUUGACUACCACUUCAUACGCCAGCUCAUUCAACUAGGUGCGCUAAGAGUCUCACAUGUCUCCACACACGACCAACUAGCCGACGCCUUGACAAAACCAUUAGCUCGCUCCAAGUUCAAUCAUGCUUGUUCCAAGAUUGGAGUGACUCAAGCCCCUCCAUCUUGCGGGGGUGUAUUAAGGAAACAAGUAUAACUCUAUUUAUGUAAAGGACUUCAUAGUCAUUAGCUUGUACAAAACCCUACAACCCUUGUACCUAUAUAUAACUCUCUGUACAUCUUUGUCUAAUAAUAAGAAUCAUAUUCUAUAAUCUAGAUAAUCCUGAAAUUAAUUCUCAUCAAGGGCACUAGUAUAGUAUAUUAUUUUAUUGGAUGUCUGUAGAGGUAAUAAUUAGCUAAUGUUUGUCAAGUAGAUAUCUUAACAAGUUUUGAUCUCUCCCUUGUUAGGAAAAAUGAAGCAGAAAUGAUCGAAAAUGUUGCUACCGAUAUUUCAAACAAGUUAAAUAUGGCUACGGCGUCAAGAGAUUUCGAUGGAUUAGUUGGGAUGGAGAAUCACAUCACACAGAUAAGUUCAAUGUUGUCAUUAGAUUCCAAUGACGUGAGGAUGGUUGGAAUCUUGGGUCCUGCAGGAAUUGGGAAAACGACCAUCGCCCGAGCCUUAUAUAACAAACUCUCUAAUAGUUUCACACACACUGCUUUUAUGGAGAGUAUAAGGGGAAGUGGUGAGAGAACACACAGUGACGAUUAUGCAUUCAUGUUGCAUUUACAAGAACAAUUUUUGUCUAAAACCUUCAACCACAAGGAUUUGAAGAUACAUCACUUGGGUGUGGCGGAAGAAAGGCUGAAAGACAAGAAAGUGCUUUUAGUUCUCGAUGAUGUAGUUGAUUUGAAGCAGCUAAAAGCCAUGGCUGGCAAUUCUCAGUGGUUUGGCUGCGGAAGCAGGAUUAUCAUGACGACAAAGGCUGCACGUCUUUUAGAAGCACAUGGUAUUGACCAUAUAUACCACGUGGGGCUUCCAUCAUUAGCACAAGCUUAUGAAAUCUUUUGUCUAUAUGCUUUUGGUCAGAAGUUCCCGUAUGAUGGUUAUGAGGACCUCGCCAUGGAAGUUACAGGACUUGCUGGUGAUCUACCUUUGGGUCUACGUGUUUUUGGUUCACAUCUGCGAGGAAUGUCCAAAGAAGAGUGGAUAGAGGCACUUCCUAGACUUAGGACAAGUCUCGAUGGAGACAUUGAAAAGGUUUUAAGGUUCAGCUACGAGGCCUUAUGCGAUAAAGAUAAAGAUUUGUUUCUUCAUAUAGCAUGUUUAUUUGAAGGUGAGAGCAUUAGCUACCUUGAAAAGUGUCUUGCACACAGUGACUUGGAUGUCAGGCACGGUCUUAAGGUCUUGGCUAAUAAUUCUCUCAUAUCUAUAACUGAAGAAGAACGCUUGGUGAUGCAUAAUUUGGUCGAACAACUCGGUAAAGAAAUCGUCCGCCAAGAACACAAAGAUGAACCUGAGAGACGUAAAUUCUUGGUGGAUGCUCGGGAGAUUUGUGACGUGCUUACCGAUAAUACAGUAAGUUUGACAGUCUUUCUUCACCUAUCAUUUGACGCUAAUCGUAUAUAUGUCAUUAACUGCCUUAUGUAACACUGUUUCAGGGCUCUAAAUCUGUUUUGGGUAUAGAUCUCGACAUAAUGGCAAUCAAGGAUGAAUUAUGCAUUGACAAGAGAGCCUUUGAAGGGAUGACUCGACUCCAGUUCUUAAGAUUUAAAAGUCCCUAUGGUUCCGGCAAGAACAACAAGUUGAUCUUGCCCCAGGGUCUGAACAAUCUACCUCGUAAGCUUAGACUCCUAUGUUGGGAUGAGUUUCCUUUGAGAUGUUUGCCUCCUGAUUUUGCUGCUGAGUUUCUAGUCAUCCUUGAGAUGCGGAAUAGCUCUAUUGAGAAGCUUUGGGAAGGAUCUCCUGUAAGUUGUUUUAAAUUAUUUUGUUUUUGGAAAUUAAACAUAUUAUGUGUGUGUUUUAAUUUGUCUACUUGCAUUAUCCAUAUGUACAUCGGCUUCGACACCUCAAGCUGAUGGAUAUGUCUUACUCCUUAAAAUUGAAAGACAUACCUAAUGUGUCAAAUGCCACAAAUCUUGAGACAUUAAUACUCAAUGGUUGUGAAAGUCUGGUGGAGAUUCCUACUUGGUUCAAGAAUCUCUCACGUCUCACACACCUAAAGAUGGUGGGAUGCAAGAAGCUCAAGGAUCUUCCAACCAACAUCAACAUGGAAUCUCUCUAUCACCUAGACCUCAGUCACUGCACACAACUGAAAACAUUUCCAGAAAUUUCCACAAGAAUUGGGUAUCUUGAUCUGGAAAAUACUGGUAUAGAAGAAGUUCCAUCAUCUAUAAGGUCUUGGCCAGAUUUUGCUAAAUUGAGCAUGCGAGGUUGCAAAAGCCUGAGGAUGUUCCCAGAUGUUCUUGACAGUAUGGAAGAGUUGAACUGAGUGAUACCAAAUAAAUUUGUUUGGUCGCGAAAUGGAGGCGUUUGGGACCUCAAUGGGUUUAAGAAUCAUUGUUGACGAAUUAUUUGCAAGGUGGUGGUCACUUUCUACUUCAAUAAUGUCUUCUUAUUUCCUAGCUUUAAGAGGCAUUUGUUACUAUGCCAUGAUCAACAUCAUUGUCAAGAUCGACUCUAGCUGAUUGUAAGAAUAAUGAACUGCCAUAAGUAAAGAAACUGAAACUAUUUCUUUUGGAGACCGAGUCUGCUCAUUAAGAAUGCAAAAAGAGAGGCCACUACGAUGGGAAAAGCAAUGAGAACAAACGCUACAACAGCCAAUGAGUCAUAUUUGUAACCUAAGGCCAUGUUUAUUGCAGGGUUCUUAGGAUGAGGUUAGCGUAAAAUAAGAACUGUUUCUUAACUUUAACUAAGAAAAACUAAGAACCGUCUCUUAAAACUCUUAUUUAAGAACCGGUUCUUAGUUUUUCUUAGUUAAAAGUUAAGAGACGGUUCUUAUAUUACGCUAAAAAUCUCACCCUAAGAUCUCUCUAAUAAACAUGCCCUAAUAAAUCCUCCAAGAAAGUUGAAACUCUCUUCCAAAUACUAUAAUCUCUUUGUCAACAUCUCCGUACUGACAUUCAUUUUUUAAUAGAUAAUUGUAUGUUAAACAAUUAUGACCAAAAUAGCUACAAAUAUUUCACAAUUAUAUUUAGGUUUAAGCUUCUACAUAUUAUUUUUACAAAACACAAUAUUUUUACAUGAAAAGUAUUACAUAUGUAUUUUCUUUUAAUUUCUUGAUACAACUCAACUUUUUAUUAUCCUUAUUACAUCUUAUCUUAUGAUGCCACAAUAAUUUUUAAUUUUGAUGUUGUUGUCGUACACGAGUAUGUGUGAAUAUGAUGAAUAUGUGUUUGUAUGUAUAAGAUAAAUAUAUAAAUAUUAAACAUAUUUUUUUCUAUUGAAAAUAAAAUAGUUGUAUAAAAAUAUAAAAGAAAAACUUAUUAUCAAUAAUUAAUUUCCUUUUUAAAGUCUAAAUAAAAUAAAAAUGUAAAAAUAAUCUUAUUUUUCUUAUAAUUAACUAACUUUACUUUUUAAUAAUUUUGUGUUACAAAAAUAUAAACCAAAAAUAACUUCAAAUAUUUCACCUAAUAUGAUUGUAACAUGUGUUAAUUAAAAAAUUAGAUUGUGAAUAUGUGAAUAAAAACAGUUAUUAUGUGAAAAUAAUUCUUCUUUUCCUAAAAUCCUAAAUAAAAGAGAUUUCUAAAAAAAAAUAUUUUCUAUAUCUUAACCAAUUAAGAUUUUAUUCUUUAAAAAAAAUCAUGAUGAGAGAGAAUUGUAAAAUUUUAUUUAAUAGUAAUUUGUACUUAAAAAUAAUGAUAAACAUGAAAGUAAAAUUUAUUUAAUUAACAAGAAAAUUUGUAAGAAUAUUAGUGAUAUUGAAAAAAAAAGAAUUUUGAAAAUGGCAACUUUUAAAAAUAGUUAAUAUUAACUGGAAAUAAUAAUUUGAUAGAAAUUUAUUUUUGUAAAUCCUAGACAAAAUAAAAUUGUAAAAGAUUAUGGAAUAUUAAUUUUCUUUCCUAAAAUAUAAAAAAUUGUAAAAGAAUAUUUGAUAGUUGUUUUUCUUUUUAAUAUAAAAAAUCCUAAACAGAAGAAAUUUGUAUCAUAUUUUUAAGUACCAACCAAAAGAGAAUUGUAAAAAUUUAUUUGAUAAUAUUUUUAAGAGAGUAUUUGAUGAUGAACAUGAUAUUAAAAAUUAUUUAAUUAAUAAAAGAAGUGUAAAAUUAGUACUGAUACGAAUUGUAAAAAUAGCAAUUUUUUUAUUAAUAAUUAAAAAUAAUUAUUUGAUAGCAAUUUUUUUUCUGAAAUUCUACUGAGAAGAUAAUUGUAAUAAGUUAUAUGAAGUAAUUUUCCUUUUCUAAAAUCAUAAACAAAAUUGUAAAAUAGUAUUUAAUAAUAUUUUUAUUGUAAAUAAAAAACAGAUUUAUAAAAUAUAAUGUUUUUUUUUUUUAAAUCCUAACAAAAUAAAUUUUAAAGACUUAUUUAAUAAAACAUUAAAUUAAUACAUAAGAUCAUGUAUAAUUUUGUCAUUGACUCGAUUGGUGUUUUUGACUUUCAUUUGUAGCCGUUUCAUUUGUACUUAAAAUAUAUUGUAAUUUAUUACUUAGCAAGAAUAAUACAUUUUUCAGCUCAAAAAGAAUAAUACCUUUUUAAUUUAACAAGUUAAUGUUUUUUUUUUGCUAAGGAUGUUAAUAUCAUAAAUGAAAUAAAAGAGUUUUUACAUGAGUAGUGUGGGAAGCGAAAUUCGCACUGUCGAUUUCUGUUUAAAUAAGGAAACAAGGAAAACCCUAAUUUCCCAGAGGACCCGGAUAUCUGCUAAUUACCACACGUCAAGCAAUCAGAACACGAGAAUAACAACGAUAAAGUAUAAGAAAUCGAAAAAGAGAGCAAAGAAGAUCUUAUUCCGAAUUUGCGUAUGAGCGUUUACAACAAGGUAUAAGCCUGGGCUCGAGAGCUGUCGGCGAGAUUCCUAGUUCUAGCAACCCUAAGACGGCUAAACCUAAUUGAGUCGCAGCUCGAAAUAACAAAAACGGAAAAAUGCCUAAAUCGCUCUAAGUGCUAAGUUUGCUCUGAAAAGUCCUCUCUCCAUGCUCCUCGCCUAGGACUCCUUAUAUACUAGCUUCAAGGUCGGUUUACGCUUUUACUCUUCUGCCCUUAAGCCGUCAUAGCGUAAAAAUGGAGAUAUUCUAUUUUUCCCGAUCUUCACAAUUAUCUUCAAAACAUCCGUAUCUAUCCGCGGAAACUUGACAUUUAUCCUUCCUUGUGGACCAAGCGUAAACCGUGCUGUGGUUUAUGGGCUUUUAGUUAAGAAAUCGUAGGAUGGGCCUCGAGUCGUGUUUUAGGUCCCUUUGGGCCGUCUUCCGACUCGACACGUUUACUACGAUUCUUUUGACAAAGAACGAACUUUCCGCGGUUUCUAAUCCGCGAAGUUUGAUCGAUGAGUUAGAAUAGCGGAAAACAUGGACUGAGCUUGCUACGGUCUUCGGGAGAUAGCAUUUGAAGGUUUGACGAGAAUGCAUGGAUUGGUGUCGUAUCGAUGUUCGGAAGAGUUCGAUCGAUACACAGCGACCGAACUUUGGCUCGAGCCCGGUCGCUACGUAGCGACCGAGCUUGGCCAAGCUCGGUCGCUACGUAGCGACCGCACGAGACGAUCGCUCGGUCGCUACGUAGCGACCAAACUUUGGCUCGAGCUCGGUCGCUAUGUAGCGACUGAGUGGGUCGAACGUUCGGUCGCUAUGUAGCGGCCGAUAUCGGCCCGGACUUGGUUGCUACGUAGCGACCGGACGGCGUGUAUGCGCGGUAAUUAUGCAACGACCGAGCUUGGUUCGUUUGGUUUGAAUCUUCAAGGAUAUUUCUUCGUAAAAACUUCGUAUUGGUUAUAUUUUACAAAAGUUAUAUCUUUAUUUUUACUAUCUCUUUCGGAAAUACGAUCUCCGAGGAUUUUCGGGUGGUAAUUCCGUCGUGACCGUUUUUGACCCCAACAAGUAGAAACACUAAUCUAAAAUUGCUUCUCUGGCAAAAAAAGGAAAAACAGAGAGACAAUUAAGUUACAUUUGUGGUGAUGCAAACAUCAGUGGCUCCAAAGAGGUAGAUAAUUGGGGAAUCUUUUCUUCCUGUUUCUUGCAUGGAUGGUGUUGCGAAUGUCCCUGUCUAUGCACUUAAUAAUAGACUCCGGUGGAAUGUGGGUGCUGUUGAAGAGGACAUUGUUUCUCUGUUUCCACAGAUGAUAUAUCGUUGCGUGGACAACCAGACAACGGAGUGUUGCUGGGGCUUGAAGAGUAUCGGAUUUCAACCAUGAGAGCAGCUCCUGCCAGUUACAAAAUAACCUACCAGAAGGUCGUAGCCUUAGAAGUGCCCAUUUCCAGAUGACAACACUAUACUCACAGGUUAAGAGUAAGUGGUCUCUAUCUUCAGGGAAUUGGGAACAAAGACAACAGUGAGUAGGUAUGAGCAUUCCCCAAGAAGCCAGUCUAACCCUUGUGGGCAUCCUGUCAUAAUUUGCAAUCCACAUAUGUAAGGCUUGCUUUGGGACUGCUCCUUUGUACCAUAUCACUUUGACCCAGUCUUUUGUACUUUCCCUUGGUCUGAUUGCAUCCCAUGUGCUCGCUGAAGAGAAUGUCUGCAGCUUAUUCCCAUUAACUAGCCAGUGGUAGGAGUCCGGAUCGGAGGAGACUGAUGGAGGUGUGACCGUUGUCAAGUGGAUAUGUAGCUCUAGUGCACGGUCUGAUCUUGGGUUUGGGAGUCUCCAUCCAUUCACAUUGCAAGCCUUUGAGACUGUUUCUUGUCGGGGCACACAAAUGUCGCGAGGGCCAGUAUCUCCUAGGUACUUUAUGAGAGGACCGAAAGGAGACCAUGGAUCAAACCAGAAGCUUAUGGUUGUUCCAUCUCCCACAGAGGCUCGUAUAUAUCUCUCAGCCAGAUAUUUGAUCUUCAGUAGACACUUCCAGAUCCAAGAGUGAGAAGGUCUUUCCUCAGCUUCCCAGUAGCAGGUAGAUCCUAGAUACUUCCUUUUCAUCCAAGAAGCCCAUAGCGAUGAAGUCUGCGAAAAUAGAAGCCAUGUGUACCUUAAGUACAGAGUUUUAUUCCAUUCAUGGAAACUUCUAAGUCCGAGUCCCCCUUCUGACUUUGGCAAGCAUACCGUGGACCAUUUAACUUUCGCCUGAUAAGCACCCUCCACUGUCCCUGACCAGAGGAAUCUUGAGCAAAGGGAUUCAAUCUUACGUAUACAGCUCUUAGGUAAGACGAAAGUUGUGAUCCAAAAGAUGACAGUCACUGUGAUCACUGAUACUAUCAGCUGUAGCCUUCCUGCAUAAGACAAUUUUUUUACUGCCCAACCCACAAAUCUGCAUCGAAUUUUAUCCAACAGAGGCUCAUAUUCGGAAACUCUCAACUUCCUUGACAUAAGCGGCAAUCCUAAAUACCUCACAGGAAGGGAACCAGUAGUGAAACCAUAACUAGAUAUAGCUGCGGUUUCAACCAGGUUCAGGCCCGCUGUGAAGAGUUGUGUCUUGUUGAAGUUUGUAACUAAACCUGACCAAGAAGCAAAAUCAUCAAGAGUUUCGACAAUUCCAUGAAGUGAGGAGCUGCCACCGUCAAAGAAAACCAUCACGCCGUCCGCAAACAUUAGGUGAGAGAUGGCCAGGUCUUCUGUUUGCGGGUGAUACUUUAUGUAUCCAGAGUCAAAUCUUGCACGGAGUAAUUGUGAAAACACCUCCAUCGCCAAUACAAAUAGAUAAGGUGAAAGUGGAUCACCUUGUCUAAGACCACGAGAGCUUUGAAAAUAACCACUUGAGCUGCCAUUGAUAGAAACUGAGAAAGAGGGUGUGGAGAUACACUCAAUUAUCCAGUCUCUGAACUUUGUCGGUACUCCUAAGGCUUGAAGAGUGGCAAUGAUGAAGUCCCAUCUCAGUGAAUCAAAAGCUUUUCUAAGGUCGACUUUGAGCAUCCCACUCGGUUGGACAUUGUUGCUAUUGUAGCCGUGGAUAAUCUCUGUGGCAAGCAAUACAUUUUCACCCAACAUUCUACCCGGUAGGAAAGCAGACUGGUAAGGAGAAAUGACCUCCACCAAGAUUUUCUUUAACCUUCCUGCCAACAGUUUUGCAAUCACUUUAUAAAGUGUGUUCAGGCAAGAGAUAGGUCUAAAAUCAGUCAUUUUUGAGGCGUUUGGUAUCUUGGGUAUGAGGACUAAAGUAGCUGCAUUCCAUUGCUUUAGAAGCUUUCCUGAAGAGAAGAAUUCGGAGACAGCAGCAGUCACUUCCGGUCCAACAAUGGACCAGCAGGUAGAGAAGAAUUCUGAGGUGAAACCGUCAGCCCCACUGGUUUUGUUCUUAGGGAGAGAGAAGAAGGCUUCACGAAUUUCUUCAGAUGUGAAGUCCCUUGAGAGGCCUGAUUUCUGAGCUUCAUUGCAGCGAAACGGAAUGAGAAGGUCAAUGUCACUCUGCUCAAACAGUUGGUGUGGCACUUCGAGGUUGAGGAACUUCUUAAAGUAAUCUACAGAGUGAUCAGCAAUGUCUUUGGCUGAAUCAUAGCGAUUUCCUUCCUCAUCCAUCAAGUAAUGUAUAUGAUUGAUAGAUUUUCUGGUAUCUGUUAAUCUGUGGUAGUAUGCGGUAUUACUAUCACCCAAGUCCAGCGCUGUGAUUCUUGAUCUUUGCAAAAAAAAAGAUUCCUCAGCUUUAGCCAGGGUCGACCAUUUUCGGUGAGCUUGGUCCUCCUUCUCAGCAUUUCGAACAGAAGGGAAAUUCAUCAGUUGGCUCUGCAUACGAAGGAGUUGCGUAUGUGCCUCGAGCACUCUUUUUUCCAGAUUUGAGUAGUUAUCUCUACUGAAACUUUUGAUCUCAGGUUUAAGGAGUUUCAGCUUCUUUGAAACCCUUAGCAUCUCUGAUCCCGUGACAUUGAAUGUGAACCAAAGCUCUCUGACAACCAUCAAGAAAUUCUGAUUCUGCAGUAUAUAGUUGAAGAACUUGAAUGGUUUCUUACUUGCCUGACUUUCUAGCUGGAGCGAUACACCACAAGACGCAUGAUCCGAGAAGUCAGGUUCACCAAAAUAGGCAAAUGAGGUUGGGAAGCAGUCCAGCCAGGCAGAGUUGACGAGGACGCGAUCAAGUUUCUUGGCCACAGGGUUGGUCUUAGACUUAUUCUACCAAGUAAAAGUGCUACCUCUAAAUGUGAGGUCAGCUAGCUCAGAAUCAAGCAAGCAGUCCCUAAACUGACGUGUGCGCAGAUCGACUCUGGAGUCUAGAUAAUUGGGAAGAUAAUAUUUGGAGUCUUUUUUGGACGCAUAUCAUUGUGAUCAAAUCUUACAAUUUUAAUAUGUCAUAAAUAUACAGCAAAACAAUCCAGAAAUGUUAUCAAAAAGCGUGUUAUUUCAUUAGAACAGCUUAAGAGAGUUAACCAAAUUAACAAAAAGAAAAAAAAAACAGAACAUAAUCUGCGUUUCUGUUAGUCUCACAAGUCACAACGUAAAAACAACUUUCCCUCAAAAAACAAAAAAAAAUAAAAUAAAAAAAUCCUGAAACAGAGCUUCUCUUUUCGUUUGUUGAAAUUUUGUUUGUGGUUGCCGCGAUUGUUAGGCCCUGUAAAAAAAAAGCGUUCAUACGUUGGUCGGAGCCUUUUUGCAUGGCGGUUUGCUUUGGAGGGAGUACGGCAAAGAUAUCAAGGUCUGCAAAUUUAGACGUCGUUGCGAUAUUGGGUGCUUUCCGUGAGAUGAGAAACGGAGGUUAAUGGGGAGAUUGAGAACAGCUUUUCUUGCCGUCUCUCUCGUUUUUCUUGUUUGCGUUUCCGAGGAGAUUAUCUCUCGACGCGGCGCCAACCGCGGCGAGGCUCACGGUGGCGAUGAUGUGGUAAGUUCAUCCUCCUUGCUUCGUUUUCUCGUUUUAGAAACAAAUCAAGAACGCAUGGAGCAAUCUUUUUUUUUUGGCCAAAUACGUAUAUAUGAAGCAAUCUUCAUUUAGGUUUUUAUUUUGUGCAUAUUCAGACAACAUGUUUGUUAUUCCGACCACAAGUUUAUUAUUGACGAACGUGUUAUUUUUCUGAUAGGCAGAACAAACAUGGAUACAUUGUAGAAAAGAAUUGAAAGAUAAGAACAGAGAUUGCCUUAUCUAUAUCCCUCCUCGUGUAGCAGCAGCUAAUGAUACGUACCAGAAACUAUCCGUCUUAACCGGUUGGUUCAGCAACUGGUUUGGACCUCUCCUUGAUUCUACUACAAGCUAUCCAACAAGAAAGCUGAUCGGUAAGCAAAAGAGAAAGAAAAAGAAAAAGAGAAAGAAGUUUAGAGUAUCUGCUCCAAACUUUGCACUUGGUCCUGCACCAGGUUUUGCUCCAGGUCCUUCUCCCCGUUUCGCUCCAGGUCCUGCUCCAACAACUCCUCAGAGUUAUGACCUUGUUGCACCUUCAAGCUCUCCUUCAUAUUCGCCAGCUGAGGCGCCGGAUGAAUCAAGCUUUGGUGGUCCGACUAAGAAGAGAGCAAAGAGUAUUGUUGCUCCUAGUCAAAGUGUUCCAGGUCCUCCUCCUCCUCCACCACCGGAGAAGAAGAAUGAUAUCUUGAUGGAUCUUAUCAUCGCUGUUGCUUCAACCGCUGUGUUAACGUUUUUUCUAGUUGCAUUGCUCUUCUUAUGUUGCUUCAGACGCAACAACCGCAAAAAUGCGGUUGGUCCUAGAAAUGGACCAAGAGAUGAAGGACCACUUCUACAUUUAUCUGAUUUAUCAGCUGGUAAAUGAUGUUUUUUAUUAAAUCAAAACGGUUUCACGUUUUAAUCUUUCAAGAACUAUAACUAACUCUUGUUUUGCUUAUUUUUUUCUUUAGGAUCUAAUGAGAACUCUCCAAAGGUUGCAGCCACGAGUAGGAGAUUCUUCACUGCUACUUCUAAGAAGAGAUCGUUUCUGUCUAGAGUAUCUCUAAAGAGAAACCAUCAUGACUUCCCACCAGCUGAAGCGUCGUCAUCCUCUGGACUUCCUCUUCCUCCUGGAAGAUCAUCAGGAGCUCCUCCUCUUCCUCCUGUGGCUCCACCACCUCCACAGGCUCCACCACCACCUCCUCCUAAAUCUAAACCUCCUCCUCCUGCUCCUCCAAAACUUGUGCGUCCUCCACCUGCACCACCAAAACGUCAAGGACGUAGCUCCUCUGGAGAUGGUUCUGACGUUGAUUCGGAGACCGGAGCUCCGAAAACGAAACUAAAACCGUUUUUCUGGGAUAAAAUGGCUAACCCUGAUCAGAAAAUGGUUUGGCAUGAGAUCAGCGCCGGUUCAUUCCAGUUAAGACUUUAAUUAUAACUUUUAAAACCUUUGUUUCUAGAACUUUGCCUAACUCGCUUUAUGCUUUUUAGGUUCAACGAACAGGAGAUGGAGUCUCUUUUCGGUUACAAUGAUGUGAACAAAAACAAGAAUGGUCAAAGAGGAGAAUCAUCUAGAGACUCUCCUGUUCAAUAUAUACAAAUCAUUGAUCCAAGGAAAGCACAAAACUUAUCUAUUCUUCUCCGAGCUUUGAAUGUAACAAUAGAAGAAGUCGUUGAUGCCAUCAAAGAAGGUAACGAGCUCCCAGUGGAGCUUCUCCAAACAUUGUUGAAGAUGGCUCCAACUUCAGAGGAAGAACUCAAACUUAGACUAUACUCGGGAGAUCUUCAUCUACUUGGCCCUGCGGAGCGAUUCUUGAAAAUUCUUGUUGAUAUACCUUUUGCGUUUAAACGUAUAGAGUCGCUUAUAUUCAUGAUAUCGCUUCAAGAAGAAGUCUCUGGCAUCAAAGAAUCACUCGCAACUCUCGAAGUAAGUCCACAAUUACACAUGACUUGCCUACUAUGUAUUUUAAUUUGAGUAGUGUUUAAAUCUAAAUACAAUUCAAGGCAUUAUUACAUAGAUUUUAGAGUUCACCAACUUUAAAUUAUCUUACAAUUUUAAAAUUUGAUGGAUUGCAAAAUAUUAAUAAUUUAUUUUAAAUCAUUAAUUGAAUAGUAUUCUGUUUUUUUGUUUUUUGUUUUGUUUCAGGUGGCUUGCAAGAAACUUAAAAACAGUAGACUGUUCAUAAAACUACUAGAAGCAGUUCUCAAGACAGGAAACAGAAUGAAUGUCGGAACUUUCCGCGGUGACGCGCAAGCUUUCAAACUCGACACGCUCUUGAAACUCUCUGACGUCAAAGGAACUGAUGGCAAAACUACACUAUUACACUUUGUUGUCCUUGAGAUCAUUCGUUCUGAAGGCGUUCGUGCUCUUCGCCUCCAGAGAUCAAGCAAAAGCUUCUCCAGCGUUAAAACAGACGAUACCAACACAGACACAAGUCCACAGUCUGUUGAACGUUACCGAAGCACUGGACUUCAAGUUGUUUCGGGACUAACCACAGAGCUUGAAGAUGUCAAGAGAGCAGCAAUAAUAGACGCUGAUGGAUUAGCUUCAACACUGAUGAACCUAAGUGGCUCGUUGACCAAUGCGAGGGAGUUUCUGAAGACGAUGGACGAAGAGAGCGAUUUCGAGAAAGCUUUAACUGGGUUCAUAGAACGUGCAGAUGGUGAUAUCAAGUGGUUGAAGGAAGAAGAAGAGAGGAUCAUGGUGUUGGUGAAAAGCUCUGCUGAUUACUUCCAUGGCAAAUCUGCCAAGAACGAAGGGUUGCGUUUGUUUGCUAUAGUGCGUGACUUCUUGAUAAUGUUGGAGAAAGUUUGCAGAGAAGUUAAAGAAACAACGAUGAUGACAUCCAGCAAAAAUCAUUCGAGUAAGAAGGAAACAAAGAUGAUUCCGGAAAGUAAUCAACCGGAUAACAUUCGACGGCAUUUGUUUCCGGCCAUUGCUGAACGGAGAGCUGACAGUUCGGAUGAUUCAGACAGUGACUAGGAUGGAAUAAGCAAAGCAGUUCGUUAUGUUAGUUUUUGUAUUAUGUUGUAUCAUUUCAGUUUCAAGUAAAACACAAACAAAAAAAAGUAACUUACAAUUUGUAUUUAUGUAUAAUUCUGUUUUUGUUUGUGCCCAGCUUUAUAAAAAUAGAUAGAUAGAUGGUAGGAACAAGAACACGAGAGCUUUUGUUACUAAAAGAAGAGAUACAACCUAGUCAAAUGAUUCUCCUCUAUGAAAAUUAUGUGAGCCUAAUCUAACAAGAAUAACAAUGGUAUCCUAACCCAAAGUUAUUGUUAAAUUCUAAAAAUCACAUAUAUGGUAAAAAAGCUAUACAUUAGAAUGAGGGGAAAGCUUGAGAGACUCCUUGCAGUGAAUGAGUAAGAGACUAUUUAUAGUAACUGUGUUGCCUCCCCCUCGCUUUCCUAGAAAAGAGAAAGCUUCUGAAUAAUAGAGGUUUCCUUUCCUUUUUUACCUAACUAUCCCAUGUCGCUUGAAAGACAUGCCUUCUGUUUUUGAGCCACUGCAAUAAUUCUCUAUCUAGUGACGAGUUGUUGACUACAGCAUCGAACAUCGGGCUUCCUAAUACUCCCAAGGUGCUUUUGAACAUCCAUAUUUUGUCCUUUGCCCAUGGCUUUUGAGGUUGCUUUGACUGUACAAAAAUAAGAUAAAAAUUUUAAAAGAUCACUAUCAUGGACAAUGGUGACAAAUGAAUAGCAUUUCGGAAGUGGGUCAAGUAUGAAGAGAUUACCAUCUGUGAAACCAUUGUUUUCACCGUCUUUGGGCCAUAAACACGAUGCUUUGAUGGCUUAUGAGCCUUUGCGUAGAAGGAAGCAACUUCGGGUAAAGAGAGGCAACCUCUGGUUGCUUUCACCAAUGUAAGAUCAGGAUCAGUAUUUGUCUGUUCAUACCAGUAAAUCAGCUGGCCGAGACAAUAGUUCUCGCCAUAUGUUUUCCGGUACUCCUUUAUACCCUCGCCUAACUUGUCCGCAUAUUUGGCCCCCAAAUCUAACGGGCUAAUUUGUACAGGAGAAGACAUAAAUGACUUGUAUUCCUGCCGACCAUAUCAAGACCCAUCUGUCAGUAGAAGUUUAACAAGACUUUGUCUUCUUUUAUCAUCCAAAUCAUACGAAAUAACUUACCCGAACUUUGAAAAAGCACUUUGUAUAGGCAUAUAUGUGAAUCAAAUCAGCUGCAGCAUCAUUCCGACACUUGUAUGUACAAGGUAGAUCUCGGACCUCAUCUCUCAACCUUCAUGGAAGAAAAUAUUCUUUGAUGUAAGUGUACAGUUUCCUAAAAGUACAAUGUUUCAUGCAUAUUGAUGCACUAACCAAAGUAAUGAUCUUUGAAGAUCCUUAAGGACGUCUGCAGAUCCAGAUGGAUCAUGGGCACGAAUCUUGGAUCUGAGUUCAUCAACAAUGCCCUCUUCCACGUGUGGCGAAAGGCACUGAAGGAUCUCCUCAACUAAGGAGCCAUCCCCGUUCCACAAAAAAGAGACUGUUUCUUCAGGAGUAAGCUUCUCCAGCGGAGGAGGAGCGUUCUUUGGAUCCCCAAACACACGUCUCAUAACAUAUCUUACCUGUGUUAUAACACUAAUUAGAGAAACUUCGAUUGGGAAAAAAUAUUUUACAAGCAAUUGCACAAAAAAUUUGAAACGCAACGCAGAUAACACGAUGUUUGGUUAUAUGAUAUGAAGAGAGAUUGCAGUCACCUUGUCAAGUGUGACAGCCAAAUUCUGAAGCCUCUGGUUGUAGACACCCUCAGCCUGUAUCAUCAAAGUUACAGAUAUAAUAAAGCAUAUAAAAGCUGGAGAAAAAAAUCAAAACCCAGCACAGAGUUCCAAAGCACAAAAGACAUGAACUAUUGAAAGAACCCGCAGAAAGGUAAAAAGGAAUGAUGUUCUGACCUGAACCUCAGCAUCACUUUUCUCAACAUCAAGGUGUAUGUCUGAAAAAUAUUUUCUCUUUUCUUCCAUAUUAUGCUUAAGAAUUUCCUCUGGAAGCUUAGUUCUCUCGAAAUUGAUGAACCGCACCUUUAUGCAGAAGAAACUUUCUGUCAGAAGCUGCACUCCCAUCAAUAGUGCUGCUAUAAACUAACAUAAAAUGAUUCAAGACUAACCAGAUGAGCAGAAUACGCAAUCACCCAAUCUGGCAGCCCACCAAGCAUACAACUUCCCAGUCCAGCUCUUCCCAACUCAAGAUAAUCUUCUUCUGAAACUGAAUUCAGUAUACAAGCUUCUAGCAUCAGUCUAUGUCGAUCCAGCAGACCAUGCCAUUCCUUCAACACCUGUUAUAUACAUGGUUCAGAAAAUUAUAUAGACAAUCAAAGGACAAAAGAAAUGCUUUUUAAACUUCGGUACAAAGACACUAAUUACUCAUUAGUGAACAAGCACACCAACCUCUGUCAUUAACCUUGCGUAUCUUAAUACCAGUUAAUAAUCAUAUAUAUGUUAACAUCACAAUUACCUUCUGAAAUGCACCUUCACCAGUGAGAUUCAAGUAGCUGCCUCGGCAUACUUGGCUACCACACAAGCAGACAGAAGCUUCAUAUUCUUCCUUACUCUGUUGCAGACAUAAAUAUCAUUCUUUUAACAGUAGAAUGGGAACAUAAAGAUUAAGAAGAGAGAGGGAAGAACAGACCUCAGUUACAGAAUUAUAAUCAAAAGUUAUCUCCUCGCCGUAUUCAAUCGGACGUACUGAAUAGAUGCCAAUCUGGUAGUGUCCAUCCACCGCAGUAACCCUGGAAGCACCAGUUGGCAAAGACGGAAAAUGAGUAACCCGUUUAAACUUGUUAUUAGGUAGGAAGACACUCAAGUAUCAAGAGUUCUCCCCUCCAUUUUUUAUUUUUUAAAGCAUGGACGCAUAGGUAAAAGGACGAGUAUUGCCUAAUAUGCCUACGAGUAGAGCAGAUAUCAUAAGCAAAUGUUGGUAAGUGUAUCCACAAAAUUUUAUAUCUAAGAAAUUUAUCUGUGUAUGUAUUGAUCUGAGCUUACUUAAGCAGGCUAGUUUAUGCAUGCAACAUGAAUGAAACUAAAUUAUUACAAUGGUCACGUGGUUCUACUCUCUAAACAAAAUUCUGGAAAAUUGGAUGAUUGCGGAAUUUAACUUACUUAGCUUCACAGUUAGGUCGGCAAGAAUGACAAAUUCGACUCGCAUAAUUAGCCUUGUGCAUGGCAUCAACAACAACUAAAUCAUAUCCAUCAGCGUCACCCUGCCAGUAACAUAACAACAUAAAAAAUAAGAAAAUGGUCUAAUAUAAUAUAUACAAGCCCAAUCAUCAUAUUUUCUUCAUACCUUCGGUCUCUCAAGAUAGAUAUUGUAAAACUCUGGUGCAGGAUCAGUUUUGUUUUCCUGCAAGGAACGAAUUCCAUCUUGCUUCUCAAACCACUUCCAAACAGGAUAAACCUACAAUAUCCAAAACAUACGUUCAGAGCUCCCUUCAGAGAAUGUUUCAUAUCCAAGAACAGCACGCCCAGUGAAUUUCAGAAAUUGUGCAGCUGACUAACUACCAAACAUAAAACUGCAAAGCUGCAAACCCACCUCUCCAAGAAAUUCAACAACAAAAUCGUCUUCCACAAAACCACCUUGUUUGUUGCAAACAACACCGAGGCCCUACAAAGGCAAAAAAGUAGCAACAAGAUAGAUUAACAAAAACAGUCCUAAAUAAAUUGAUGGAUUUCUAUGAAAGAAUGACAGAGCUCUAUACCUUCCGAUAAGACACAUAAUUAUCACCAGAACGACUUUCUAUAGCCUUUAAGACGCCUUGACACAUUUUCAUUGUUUGUAUAUCACACUCUUCACGAGCAUUCUCUUUGAGCUCUUCAAUCACAGGUCUUAAAGGGAAUACCAUGGGGGUGUUUCCAGAUCCAGUGAGAAACCUGACUUUCCUGUUCAGGGCACGUAAGACUACAUCUUCUAUAAAUGAAUGUUUAUCCUGCAGUGACCAGUCCAAUUCUCCGGGCAUUGAAUCAAGUAAGAGGUUAUGGGUGUAAGGAUCGAUUCCAUAAACCUCUUGCUCUAAAACCUCGUUGCCAAGAAGCUUUCUUGGUUUAUACUCCUUGACUUCAGGAAGCUCCAUAUCUAACUCUUCAAUGCCAUUUCGUUGUGCAUUCAGCUUCUCAUCAUAGUCCUCUGGCAAAGAAACCCGCAUCUUUCGUUGUACCUCCUCCUCGUCAGCGACAAUCGUGUACUCUUCAAUCAGUUCAUAUUUCCUUGUGACUGGUGGCACAAGACUAGCUUUGGUCAUACGUGCACCCCAUUCACGCUCUUCGGUCACAGAAUCAAAGGAUUCGUCUGCUGUAAAAUAUUUUUCAACACGUGAGUCCUGUGAUCGACCUUCUGAACGGAUAUCCGAUUCGCUUUCUGAAGCUGAGCUGUAAUUGUCAUUGUCAGAUAGCGCGGAAGAUGUUUCACUUCCCGAACCAAAUGAUUUACGAUUCAGUUUAGACAAACGCCUUUUGAUUUCGCGGUCAGAUGCAUAUUCUCCGUAGUCCAGCGCACCAUUUACACCAAAUGUGUCACUCGUCCUGCUCAUGUACUUCUUUUCAGUUACAGAUUUGCUCAACUUCUUGUUGUACUUAGAGGCUGAUGACAACCCUGAGCCAUCUUGCCACGACUUCAUCAAUUCAUCUCUUCUAUAUGAAGAAGUAGCCAUAGAGACCUCUUCUAAACGUGUGGCAAGUUGGAUAAACAGUAUGAUGAUUCGGUUCAUCUCUUUGGAGUCUCCCCGAUUCCUCUCUCUGGAUAUAAGAUAGAAUCAGAAGAAAUUUUACAAAACUAGUAUUAAGGAAAGCAAUAAAAACAGCUCCUACCUUUACUUAAGAACUAGGAGUCUAGGAAUAAAUGUCAAAAACAAGUAAUCCUACAUCCUAACAAACUGAGGGCCAAAAACCAAGCACAUGGGAAGAAAGCGGUUAUUGACUUGAGAAAUUAUAACCUAUAAUCCAGAAAGGACAUCAGCAGUCGUUCAACAUAUUGUUUGGCAAGUAGAAUCUUCAUAGUUACUUAUUUAUAAUUUGCAAGUCAAUAUUUGAAGUAUUAUUGGCAUAAUCAUGUACUAAAGAAGCUACCCAAAGAAAGAGGAAGGGAGCCUUACUUAAUUGCUUCCCUGCACAUCCGGCUGAUAUCCUCCUUGACAGAUUUCAAACCAUGACUAACGUAGUAACCGUUUUUCAUUUUUUCCUCUAUAUGAGCAACCUAGUAACCAAAGACACAUUAGGAUUAACUUUAACAAAUGGUAAAGAAAUAAGAGCAGACAUAAUAUACAGCAUACACGAAUACCAGAAAGCACCUUUAAAUCAAAGAAGUCAAAAGUAUUCUGCUUCAUGAUGCCCCUAAGGCUUGAAGAAAGGAAUUCCUCCACUCUCUUAUACCCGUGUUCUGACUUCUUAAUCGCCCAUCGCCUGAUACGAGCAUCCCUGGAUAGAAUUGCCGAUGAUUUCCGUGCAUCAUACAAUUUUGAGCGUUUGUAUAAGCUUCUUCGGAAUAACUGAUUGGCUGAGUCUCGCUUUUCCACUCGAUCAAAGUAAUCCUUAAGGUUACCAAAAUCAUCUGUAUCUCCUCCUAAUUCCAUAGACUUAUUAACAUUAGUCUGUUUCAAACUCCUUGACCUGGAAUGCAAGUCACCUGGUCCAGGAUGCUGGCAUUUGAGCCAACUUACUUUUCUAUAUUUCAAAGUCAAAUUUCCAAACUGGGAGCAGCCUGUGAUGUCUAUAGAAGAUAUAUGGGGAAAUAAACGAAGAAUUUCCUCAAGCAUGCUGGAAGUCACGUUUGUACAACCAACCAGAAUAAUAGAAUCAAUCUUCUCCGUGUUGUAAGUGUUCUGCAAGAGAAUGUCAUAUCAGAUCAAUUAAAAUACUAAAUUUUCUAAAAUACUGUAAACGAAAAGUACAGAGUGCUCACCAUGAUACUCCAGAGCCUAGAAUCUGUGCAGUUGGGACCCAAAGAAGAUAAGUCAACUUGUCUUGAAAUAUCCUUGUAUGAACUAACAAUGGCCUUCCAGUGUCUACAAGUCAUGGACGCAAAUGCAAGUGAUUUUACAUCAUAUCUCAGCAAAUGAAACACCCGUGCUAACACGUGACCAUCUAACAAAUCCCAGUACAUCCCCACGCUGCCAGAAGAUCCACUUCCUUCAACAUGGAAAGUAGCGUCCCCACAUAAAUCCUCAAAUGUCGACUCAUCCUUCUGAAAUAUUUGUGCAUCUUUCACUUCAGAAUGGUCUCCACUUUCACCAGCCAUCAAUCGAACUCUUUUCGUAUAUGAUGAUGAAUCAAAUUCUGAGGUUUAUGAACCAAAAACAAAAGAGAGAAGAGAACAAAUGUUUAAACAUACGAAAGCAGGAACUGCACAGUGUUAUAACCAGAAGAGAAUGAAGAAACAAAGGAAAUAGCCACCCAAGUUCAGAAACCGAUAAUAACUUGAAGAAAAGCAUGAGCUAAUAAGACGGAUGGGGUGGCAUUUAAGUUCUGGUAGUUAUGCAUACCUGAAUAUGGGUGCAUGUACUUGCCAGUCUCUUUCUUUGGCUGUCUUGCAUGAAUCCAAGAGUCUAAGACAUCGUUUAUGGCAGCAGAAAAUUCCCGAGUCUUGUAUGUUUUCAUAACCAAUUGAUGGAGUUUCCCACGGAAAUAACCAAGAAACUGAGGAUGCAUAGCAUGGAACGAGCUUAGACUUGUGUCCAUUUCAGAAUGCUUGAAAUCCUGCGACUCUGAGACAUCAAGGCUUUGACAAUCUGAAGGCAGAACUGGGGCUUUCCCCUUGCCACUGAUUUCAGAAGUUUUUGUGAUAGAAGUAACAGGUACCCAAAUUUUGUCAGAUUUCCUGAAGACACUAGUGUGGCGCUUUAUUAAACCUUUAGCAACCAAUAUCUGGAGCUCCGAAAAUGGCAAAGGUCCUUGUUCUUGCCCAGAACCAUCCAUGUAGAACCAAUCACCCAAAUGCAAUUGCAAAUCAUCGACUGUAAACAGACGAUCCCCAGGGGUGCUAACAGAUGCGUCAGUUCUCCAAAAUCCCUGCAUAUCUUGACUACCGCAAGCUGAUGACUGAGAAAUACUUUCGACGGAUUCCCUCUUGGAAUCACUAGAUGCAGGGGAUGGACGAGCAUGCCUUGAAGAGAACUUUUCCCCACCACGAACUUUUACAAGGGGAUCAGGAACUGAUGGAACUUGAUCAUUAACGACUAAUGAGUUAAGCCUAACUACAGACAGCACACUAGCUUUUACUCCCCUCGCCUGAUUUCUCUCAUCUACACCAGAAAAAGCCCACAGGGGAAGUUCCAGCCUAGAGCGGCUGCGAGGAUUAUACAAAUCAUCCUUGUGAUGCCAGCGAGGAUCCUCAUACCCAGACUUCUGCAUCAGGCAUAAUGGGAAACCAUCAUUCAGAACCAUUUUCUUUUUGUAAUCUCUAUCUUGAAAAGCUUCAUCGUGUCUUAUCCAGUCCCCGCCUGUGCAAGACCAACGACCUGAAAACCAGCUGCCUAUCUCAUCGCUCUCAGAACAAUCAACAUUUUCUGACUUCGAUUCUUCGAUGGCCAUUGCCUUGGGCUCUGAACGUUCCCACGACUCCUCAUUUAAUAGCAACUGAUUUACCACUUGAUAGUAGCACCAGAUGAUAUCUGCAAAUGCCAGAGUAGAACUUCUAAAUAGUGUCAUGCAAAACAUGUGGAUAAAUUUUUAAAAAAAAAAACAUGUGAAUAAACAAGAAGCUAUGAUUACUAAAAGUUGAUGUCGUCUAAAUGAAUAUCCAUGUUCAUGCACAAACCAUCAUAUGGCAGUAGACGGCCAUUACGUCUUUAACACACAUCAACACUUCCAAAUACUACAAACGAACUAAUAUAAAUAUAGAUGACUAUAUAAUAUCUUAAGUGAAUAUAAACGCUUGUAUCGUUACGUUUUCUGAUAGUAGAAGUAGGCCAAGUUAGGAAUAUAACUUGCCUGAAAGGAGGAGAAGCAAAUAGAGAAAAAAAUCAUAUCAUGCUAUAGAAAAAGUGCAAGUGGUGCCAACGAAACAUACCUUCAGAACUCACAAACCUUCUCGUCUCUUCAAGCUCAACUUUAAUCUGCACAGCUUCUGCAAAGCGAUAAAAAUAAGCCUAUCUUAGGUAUGGCAUAGAAGCCCCAUGGUGCAAUAAACUAAAUGUAUUAAGAAAAAUGCUUCAGAUAUUUGCUAGCAUUUUUGGCUGAAAACAUCAAAUUUCUGGCCGGAAAGAUAAUAUUUUACAUCUACUACAGUACCUCCAAGUGUUUCAAGUUCCCUGCCAGGGAUGAUAGUAUAGCCAUCCAAGAGACUCGCGAUCCUGUUAUCAAACUGGAAAUCUUCAUGAUGGCCCACUACAGUAUCAUUACUAUCUGGUAUGGACAAUGAUUCAGGCAAGGAAUCUUCAGCUCCUUGCUCCAUAUGAACUGCUUUGACAGCAUCUGCAAUAUCUUCUAAUAAAUUACCAGGCGCUUCAGGAGGAUUCACGAGCCGUGUCACAGCAUCUGACACGAUUGAUGGAAUAUUUAUGUUGACCACAGGAGAUGUUGCAUUUUCAAUAGUGACCCACCUAUUAUUAUCUGAAUGUUUAAUCAUAUGGUCAGAGAAAAGAAUGCCUUGCUCCACAAGAGCUUUAAGCUCGGAUAACUUUGCAGGCCCAUGUUCAGUGCCAUAGUAAUCAAGAUAAAACCACUCCCCCAAGGAUGAAUCUGCCGCCAUAGGCUCCUCGUGAGGUGGUGUAUCACAAAUGUCCAUAUCUACCUCCAUCGAUGGCAACUCUUCGGUAGUUGCUUCACCAACUAGCACAGACUCUUUUCCCUUUGCACACGCACUUGGAAUCUUGGAAGAAUCACAUACAGAAUUUUUCUCAGCCACCGGAUUAUUGUUAUUCAAAAUGUUUUUACCUUGCAAUUCUUUUCUUGAUGGAGACGACUCUUUUCCAUUAGAAUCCCUAUGCCUUUGCUUAUUCUCAAGCUCCAUACCAGUCUGAGAAUCCCUCCUCUCCCUAACUCCACUCUUUCUGCUUAUAUCUCUAUGGCCAUUACGUCUGGUACGAUCGCUCUGGGGAUCUUCCAUAUAUUUAGAAGUUCCGUCGCGGCGAUCACCGGACCAUUCAGAGUAACUUGGACUUCUUCUAUAAUCAUGGUGAUGGCUGCGGUCAUGUGGAGACCUUUUACGAGCAUGUGAAGGCUUCUCAAAGAUAUAUGGCGAUCUCUCCCGGGCAUAUGGCGACCUUUCCCGAUUGUGGGAACUUCUAUCCCUGUGGCCAUGGUACCUAGACCGGUCAUGUGGGGACAGAUCAGAUCGUGCAGGGCUGUGUCCAUGUCUGUCUGAAACAGCCCUGGCAGGGAAAUAUGAGUCUUGAUGCUUUUUAGGAUACUUUUCCAGAGAUGAGUGUUUUGAUGAAUAGGAAUCUCUGUAGUCUCUCUCAACAGAGUUCCGUGAAUAGUGGUCUGGGUGAAGAGAGCGGGAACAAUCAUCAGAAAGUUUUCUAUAUUUGGAGCUCCCAUAGUCCCCAUUAUCCGCAUAAAGAUGUUUGCGCUCAAAACUAUCCGGUUCAGCUCCAUGUCGCUUCAGUUUGUUCACAGUAGAAGAGUACUCUUUCCCAAGAUUAUUGGGAUCGUUGUAUUCGUUCUUAUGUAAGCUUUCCUCUAUUACAAUUUUAGAACUGACUCUCGUAGCUCUGUCAUUCCCACUUCUGAACUCUCUCCGGCGAUAGGUAUCCUCAUUCAAAAACCUCCCGCCGGGCGGGGUGCGUUCAUGUUCAUAGUCAUAAUCAUAUUUCCACGUUUUCUCUCUGUCAACUCCAUUCCUACGAGAUCUGUUGUAAGUAUGAUCAUCCUUUACCGUAUCCAUCUUAUGCCAUCUGUCUGGAAUGAACUCCCCCUUCUCAAUUUCAUUACCGGGAUCUCUCCAUGAUCUGAUUUCUCUCUCUUCUUUCCUGUACUUAUCUGCGGGUAAAUCCCUUCUCUCCACAUAAGAUUUAUCAUAUUGCAGGUUACUGCAAUCCCCAGAAAUCUCCCCUUUUUCAAUCUCAUUAUUCCGCAGUGACUUCACUGGAGAAAUCUCACCGGUCUCCAAAUCCCCAUGAGAAUUUAAUGUACCUAAUUCACCCUCUUCCACUUCAUCCUUAAACCCAGAAUCUCCACCGUUUUCUUCUUUAUUGCUACUUUCUCCUCCUUUUCCUUGCAAAAGUUCACUCUUUUUAUCCUGCUCUUUCUUCAGGACCUGUGAUUCUCCAGAAAGUUGCACUACCUGAUCUUUCGGCUGCUCUUCUGCUUGUUUCUGAGGCUGCUUGGGCUUCCUCCUGACAACUUUACGAAUAACCUUAACAAUUUUCUUCUUCUUAGGUGGCUGAGACGCUGAGGGUUUAGCUGGCUGGGACUCCGGAAGCUUAUCACUAGUUGAGAUUGAAGUGUGACCAUUCUCGGGAACCUUGGUAUCAAUGUUGCCUCCACAAAGCGUCUUCUCUGGAAGCUUGUCCAUGAUAUUCAGUAGAGGCAUGCAUGUGGCGACACCCCCAUCGCUCAUGGAAACAAAGCUUUUCUCAAGUCCCGGGGAUAUCAAUACUCAUGCUUCAGAACAUCCACCGCCAAAUUCAAGAACCUGUACACACCCAAGAAGCAAUCAGUGGCGAAAACUGAAUGUAGGGUUCUGCCCAGAGCGAGAAUCUGGAAACCCUACGGAGCCAAAUUGAUGAAAUUAGAGGAGACGAUGAGACGGGAAGACAGCGAAUUGAAGCGGGGAUUAUACCGGGGAGGGUAAGGAAACGUAGCGAAGGGGAUCAAAAAAACCCUAGAAUAGAGCUGGGAGGAAGACGAAGGAACGUGAGAAGGAUGAGAAAUUUCUGGAGAAUAAGAGAUCGAGGUCAAAGAAGACGAAUCGAGAAGGAAACCCUAGAAAGCUCUCGCUAAAUCUUAAUCUGGUUGUUCCCGUUUCGCCGGAAAAUCACCGUUGCGGCGUGUGUUCUUUCUCUCUCUGCGACCUGCGCUUCUCUUCUGAAUCGUUGUGUUCUCUCUCUCUCUCUCUCUCCGUUAUGUUUUCCUGAAAGAAGAAGCCGUCGUGUUAAUAUUUUAUUUUCUGUGUAUUUAUUUAUUUAUUUAUUUUUAUUUUUUAUAUCACCGUUUUCACCUUGACUAAUUUAGUUAUGAAAUUGCUAAUAGUACGAUUUAAUUUAUUGGUCAAAAGUAUAUUAGUAUGCAAUGGUAAAAAUGGUAAUUAAGAAUAGCUGUGAAUUGUAUUUGUAAAAAAUAGGUCCAAACACAUUUUGAAUGAUGUUUUCAUUGUAGUACAACGAGUGAAGUUUUCGUUAAUUUUGUUCUUAUAUAAAUAUUUGUUUUGAAAAAUAAUAAUUUCAUUAUAUGAACUUAACUUAUUAUUGAAUAUAUUAUAUUAUUAUAUAAUGUGCAAUAAGUUAAUAAUCUACUAAAAUAUUAAAUAUAUUUUUUCAACUGUAUGGUUGAUAAAAUCACAAGUUAUUUUCUCAUUCUAAUUCCUUUUAAUACAUUUCUCAAAAUGUUUUACUUAUCAUAUUUCUUCCUCAUAUUUUUUUCUAGUUUUCUUUCAUUGGGUUUUAUAGAAAAAUUCAACAGUAAAAAAUAGAAAAUAAUAUUAAAAUGAUAAUUAAAAGACAAAAUAAUGAAAAUACUUUGAAUAGUAACACUUAUUAAAACACUUCUCAAGAGUUUUUAUCUUUGUCAUUUUUUUUUUGUCACUAAUAUCUUUGUCAUUUAAAUAUGACAAAACAUGUGACUUUUUAGUAUAUUUGUAUAGUAGGCAUGUGAUUUUAUUAGCUUUUGCAUAUUUUAUAUGUGUUAAAAAAAAAAAUUUUUGAUCCAACAUAUUUUUACUGAAAACGAAAAUAUUUUCUUUUUUUCUAAACUGAGAUAAUUAUUUCUAUACUCAUCUUGUUCAUAAAAUUAUUAGUUUAAAACUAAUCUCUUUUUCUUAUUAACUUGAAAAAUAAAAUGAUAAUAUCAGUAACUGAUGAAAAUAAAAUUCCACAUAAUUUAUUUAACAAAGCUAAAAUAAUAUUUAAUGAGAAGCUUUCUGCAAUUAGUAACAAUAAUUUAUUCUGAUCAAAUCUACUAUAUUUAUAUGUCCUUUUAGCAUUCAAAAUUGGAUAAAAAUAUCAGAUCUACCAAAAUUUUAUAUCUUUACAUAUAUCACACUCUCGGGUCCGGAUCUGAAAAUAACAAUCAUACCAAAAACAAAAAUUGUGAAAAUGUUUACAUAUCAAAUUACUUGUUCAUACAUUAUUUACACGUUUUUACAGUUAAUUAACUUUUUCACAUGCGACAAAAUGGCAUAUUGUCAUUUACUCGUAAGACUAGCCCAAAAGUAAGGCGGCCACUUCCAACAUUUUUAGCAAUGAAAAUCCAUUUGGCGCUCAAACCAAACGCUAUGAGCGGUAAGAUUCUCACCGUUAAUAAACGGACAUCUUGACCCAAGACUUUUUUAUUAAACAACGUGGUGCGAAGCUUUGAAGAGAUUCUGAUUUGAUGAGCCAUUAAACACUUGGAACAACCCGUUACUUAUAAUGUGGGCUUUGUAAUGGGGGUCCAUUGGUGAUUGAUUACUCCUACAUUCUCUUAUUGAAGAACUUCUAAAACUUUAUUCCAAAAGCAGAGCAAAAUAAAAGCUUUGACAAAAAGUAACGACCACUCUAGGCUUUCUUAUCACAUCACAAAUAAAAAAUGCAUUUUAUCAUGAUGAAACUGAUUCACGGGAGAAAAAACAACACAAGAAUGCAAAAAUAAAAAGGUCCAGAUUCUAUUCAUGACAGCAUAUAAAUAAACAGAUGGCAUAAAGGUCGUCAAUAUCAUGACAUAACAAGAGUAUUAAUUGAUUCUGAGAUGAUAAUCAUGAUAUCUUCAAAUCCAAGGGAAAAGAAACCAAAUGGUGAACUACAACACUUUGUGGGCAGUUUUCGAGCUUAGGAAGUUUCCCCAGCUCGUUGUGUCACGCCAUUCACUAAAAGCUUAGUAAAGGACUCUGGCGGGUGGACUUGUACUCUCAUUCCCUGAUGUAGUCAGAAAUACCUCAAGCUCUAGCUUCUCAAAUGUCAAGCUUGUACUGUCCAUGGUCUAUACAUGUUUUGUUGUGUUAUUAACAUCUAAUUUUUUUUUUGAAUUAUAAAGAAGUAUCCUGCCUUCGGAAACUAGCUAAAGCCGCAUGUUAACAGUCUACGUUUUCGGCCCACGUGUCGGUCUCAUGUCCAUAGUGAUACCAAAAUUUUAAUUUUCCAAUGGCCUGGACUCGAACCCUAGUGGUUUCACUGUAUUGGGUUUCGCCCUCAGGUUAAUCUAGGCCCGGGCAUUUUACCCGGACCCGAAGACCCGACCCGAAACCGAUCCGAAAAAAUCCGGUCCGGGUAGGAACCGACCCGAUCAAAUUACCCUAUCGGGUCUUGUUGCAGAGGACCCGCGGGUCUUGGACCCGAUCCGACCCAAACGCGAAACCCGAUGGGUACCCGAAUUAAUAAUGUAAAUUAAAUAAAAUGCAUCAAGGGAGAAUCGAAGACGGGUUAUUUGUCAAGAGAACAUGGGGGUCAACCACUAGGAGACAACAAAUUGUUAUUGUAUCUCGCAUAGUUUAGUAUAUAUACACAUUUUAAUAUAAUAAAAACACAAAUUUUGAAUAAAAUUUUGAAUAUUUUAGGAUAUAUAAAUAUUUUCAGAUAUUUUUUUGUAUUUUUAGGUCUUUUUUAGAUCAAACCCGAAUCGAACCCGACCCGAAACCGAACCGUAUCCGAACCGAUAAAUUCUAAUUACCCGAAUGGGUCUAACUAUCUAAGACCCGACCCGACCCGGACCCGGCACGAUCCGAACCGAUCCGGAACCGAGAAUUUGAAAUUACCCUAUCGGAUCCUAAACUCUUAGACCCGAAAGACCCGGACCCGAAAGGACCCGAUCCGAACCCGACCCGGCGACCCGAAUGCCCAGGCCUAGGUUAAUCACCAUUGAACCACAUGCCCCUGUUUAUUAACGUCUAAUUAUGUCUAUUGUCCACUGUUUUCAUGGAUGUCUAAAACACCAUGUUCAAAAAAUAAAAAUAACACUUUUAAUAUAAUAUAAAACAAUAAAAAUAAGACACUUUUUAAUGUGGUGAUCAACAUAUACAUAAACGUUUCGAUCUUUUCUUAGGAGACCCGAGACCGUAAGGUAAGUAAGUAGAAACGUCGAUGGCUGUAUAUAUAUGUUGAUCACCACAUUCUCUGCGACACGAACACUUAGUAACUUGUACGUCUGGAAUCUUAAAAGAAGCCCAAAGGACCAUAAUGUUUUUGUUGUUUUCUACAUAUGAAUGAUUAUAUGAAUGCACUUAUGUAUCAAUAUAUAUGCCUGUUUGACUGACGUAGUAUGGGUGAAGGACACAACACAUGUACACAUUGAGUAAUGACCAUUGCGUAGUGUUUGUCCUUUUAACAAAAUUUAGAUACUUUUUCGCAAGAGGAGCGUAAGGCAGAAUGAAAUGAGAGAAAUAUUUUAUUAAUCAAAUUAAGAAUAUUUUUUAAUAGCAAUAUUAUCAUAUUCAUUGACAAAAAAAUAUUAUAAUAUUUAAGACAACCUUACUUUAUAUAUCUCCCUAAUAUUUACACCACACAAAAAUAAAAUCUAACUCAAACCCAACAGACGGUCGAGUCCUCAAUGCAAGAGUUAUCGAGUAUAGUUUGGGAACAAACAAUACUUAGAUUCACCUCUAUGGUACUAUCAAUUUUCACCUCACCAUUGAUCACCAAUCAAAGUGCUAUAUACAAAUAAUAAAAAAUAUUAAUUUUUCCAAAAAAGUAAAAUAGCUUCGUUAACAUUAACACCAUCAGCAAAACAUUUAACUCUAAACCUUAAAUACUAAAUUUAAAAUAUAAACCCUAAACCUAAAACCUAAGCCUUAUAAACCCUAAACUUUAACGAAAUGAGUUAGCGCCGCCGACGUUAGAGUUUAGGUUUACAGUUUAGAAUUCAGUGUUUAGAAUUUUGUUAACGAUCGACGUUAAUGUCAGCAUUUUUUUAAUUAAUUCUACAUGGUACUUUGAUUGGUGAUAAGAGAUGAGAUAAAUUUGACAGUUUAUUACAAGGGUGAACCCAACCCUAACCAUCAGUUUCGAGAAAUUUUUCCAUUUUGAUUUCAGACGAAGUUAUAUUUUCCCUUAACAAACGUGUGUGUGUGUGUGUGUUUUUGUUGGAAAAAUAAAAAAGUAGCAUCUAAUCUAUUAAUUUAGGGUCCUAAUUUUUAUCUACUAUUUAAAAGUCUUAGCAUGACCAUUUGAUUAAUUAUUUAAUAUGACAUAAUAAUUAUUCCUAGUCUAACAAAUCUGUUGAAAAAAUAUAUAUUUAAAUUUUAUUUUUAAUUAUAACAAAUUUGAUGAGAAAAUAUCUACCCAAAUCUUAUUAAAAGUUUUAAGUAUUUUUUAAAAUCAUACAAUAAUUAAUUUUGUAAUUAGUAAUAUAAUAUGAUUAUACAUUACUAUUAAUUAUUUUUUUAUUAUAAAACAAAAAAAUAAAAUUAUUUCCUAUUUUUAUAAAUUUUAUAAUGUAUUAUAUAAAAUAGAAGUACUAUAUGAAUAAAUAAAUAAAACUAUAUAAAAUUGGUAAAUUAAACUAUUUUAUUUUAAAAUUCUUUCAUUUAAAUAAAUAAAAUAAACUAUCAUUUCUUUCAUUUAAAUAAAUAAAAUAAACUAUUAUUCACCGUUAAAAAGGGUUAAAAUUCAUAAAGUAUGUAUAUUUUAUACAAAGAAUAUUAUCAUAUGUUAAACUUUUAUAUCUACAACUAUAUAUUAUUUAAUUAAUUUGAAACUCACAACAAUAUAUUAUCUAAAAUGAUUAUAUACAAAAUAUAAUAGUCAUAGCAAACUUUUAGUUCAUGCGUUAUUUACAAAAUAGGAUAUCAGAAAAAAAUAAUAAUUCAAAAGAUAUUAAUCAAAAGUCUAUUUUAACUACAAAUUUAUUGAGAGUGGUCUUUUUUAUAUAUUUUAUGUUGUGGCACCUACUGAUAUCUCUAUGUUUUUCAUUACAAGUAUGGUUUAUUGCGUGUUUUUUUAUCAUUCCACAAUGGUGUCUAAAACAAAGUAAAAAAUAUAAAACAAAUGAUUAUAUAUUAAUAAUGAUGAAUAAAAAACCUAAACAAUAUAAUUAUAUACUUACACAAUAUAUAACACUAAAAAAUCAUAUAUUUAAAAUGUUUAUGAUAAUGUUAAAUGUAUACAUUUAUAAAAUAAAAAUAUAUCCGCACGAACGUGCAGGUCAAAUUCUAGUUUUGGAUAAACGGCAGCUGUUUACGGUUUUAGCAUUACCGAUAUAACUGUUAAGAUUAGGAAUCCGAUCUUAGUAGAUAAAAAGGUUUUUAUAAAGGUAAAAAAAAUAUCAGAUUUCUUAAGCUGUAAAGAUACAAAUCUAAGAAAUUGUAAAAUAUUCAUUCAUACAAUCAAUAUAUGUACAAACCAUAAACCAAAUAUUUAGCAACUGAGUUUCUCUCUAGUUCUUUUGAUUUCGACGAGAUUGUUUUACCUUUGUUCUCAACAUUUUACUAGCCUUAACAUUUUUCUUUAGCUUUGUAGUUGAAAAGUUUAAAAGACAUAUGUUGAUAUUGAAUGACUCUUUCAUUACACUCCCCUUAAAAUUUAAAAUUCAAAUAGCAUUAUUCAAACAAUCACCUUACAAUUACAUAAAGUUUUCUUUUUAACUUAGAUCAAUAACAAAAAAUAAAUCCUUCUUAAUCCAUGUUUCCCCAAUCGUAAAACAUCAGAAGAACCUAGAUCUUGAGAUCUCACCAUUUUUCACUGUAUCAAAAGAAACACAAAGAGAUCAAGCCAAGAGAGAAGUCUUUUUCUGUGGAGCAGGACACUUGAAGUCACGAGGUGGAGUCUUGCCACAGUCGACGAGAAGCUCAAGAGCAAUGGGAAUAAUGAGGUCGAUGUUGAGAAGCUUCGCUCUAAUGGUGGUGCAAAGACAGACCGCUGCGUCAAGACCCACUAAACCGCCAAGAACUGGGCAACAAGUUGCCUUUGCAUAGCUUUUUCCUAGUCCGAUGUGAAUCAAGCCGCCAAGCACGUCCACACACGCGCCUAGCUUCAGUGCGUCGAUGGAGCACGUCUCCGGUUCAGGCGUUGGUGCCGGAGGUGGAGGAGGACACGGAGUUGGUGGAGGAGGCGGUGGCGGACAUGGCGUCUCUGGGGUUGGAGUUGGCGGUGGUGGCGGGGUUACGACUGGUGGGGUUGGAGUUGGCGGUGGAGGAGAAGGCGUAGGAGAUGGAGUGUACGGAGGUGGUGGCUUGACGGUGGGCGGUUUUGGAGUGUAAGGUGGAGGGGAUGGAGUGUACGGAGCUGGAGGCUUGACGGUGGGCGGCUUUGGGGUGUGAUGAGGUGGCUUGACGGUGGGUGGUUUGGGAGUGUGAGGAGGUAGUUUUGGGGUGUGAUGAGGUGGCUUAACGGUGGGUGGUUUUGGAGUGUGAUGAGGUGGUUUUGGAGUGUGAUGAGGUGGUUUGACGGCGGGUGGUUUUGGAGUGUGUUGUGGUGGCUUGACAGUGGGUGGUUUAGGCGGUUUAAUGGGAUGUUUGGGAGGUUUAACGGGGUGUGGAGAUGAUUUUGGAGGGUCACUGCAGUCACAAGCGUAAGAGACGGCGCAGAAACCAAGGAGGAGAAGUAUCAAAAAGGAGAG